CUCGCUGUUCUCUUACUGUGUCUAGUUAUAGGGCAGAUACAAGUGGAAGCUAAGAGCUGCUGCCCAUCCACCACUGCAAGAAAUGUCUACAAUACCUGCCGUUUCACGGGUACAUCCCGUCCAACGUGUGCAAAACUGUCAGGCUGCAAAAUUAUCAGCGGGAACAAAUGCAAGCCCCCUAACGACCACCUCACCCUUGACCCGGACACUGGUAAAUAAUAAAUUUAUCUCACUUGAUUUCUUCGUGAUUUGAGUCGUUAAUGUAUUUUCCAUCUGAUGAAACGUAUUGGUUUUGCAUUGAAGAGGAAGUUAAUGUGCUUAACUUCUGCAAGUUGGGGUGUGCGUCGUCUGUGUGCAACAACAUCAACGCUGGUAAGCAACUUUUGCUCAGACAGAGAAAACAAUAAUCAUUAAUUAGCGGCAGCUAGAAUCCUAUAAUCUAAUAUAUAUAUAUAUAUAUAAUUUUAUCAGCUCUGGGAAAUGAAGAGGCGAACGAUGCCGUUGAGAGUUGCGACCAAGCCUGCUCUAGCUUCUGCAGCGUGCAUGUUGGCAGCGCCACCGUGGUUGCUUAAGCAAAUGCAUCCAACUAGAUCGUCCUUGUGCUGAAUAAUUGGAUAUCGUAUCCACUUAAAGCUGCCUUGUGUAGUACGUCUUUGUGUCUCUCUUUAUAUUCCAAUAAGGUCGGUGAUCUUGAUGCCACACACUCAGAUGUGUGUUCAUCUCCAGAUACUACUCCAUGCUACCUGCCCUUUGUGUUUUGUUCAAUAACUGGGUAUCAUAUCCCAGCCAGUAUGCCGUCUGUUUUGUGUUUGUUUCCUUCUAGUUCCAAAGGGGUCAUCAUGAUGUUACCUUCUUUCAAUAUGGUGCUUUGCAUGACUACUGUUGUAUGGUACCAUCUUGUGGCCAAUAAGUACAUCUUAUCCUAUGACCUUUGCUAUGACCCUUUGCAAAUAAGUAGAAGAUUGUUAUAAGCGUCAAUACUCCGUAUAAAUUGAUCGCUGCUGUGAGUUCCCUUUCAGCUUAUCGUAGGCAUACAUUAUUGCUAGCACGGUAAAGCCAACCAACACGAAUGAUGAAGUAAACGUAGCGGUACUUCUGUAUACCAACACCCUUACUUAAAUGUACCGGUGUCAUUCCCUACUGGCACAUAUAUUCUUAUAUGCUAGCCAGCUUGUAAAAUUAACCAAUUAAAAUAAUUAUUUCAAGAUAGAAAUAACUUAUCGGUUUCUGGAAGCAUGUGUAAUGUGAAUUCAAGGACUCGACGGAAGUUGAAUCACUUCAUCUAUAUUGCUUUCAGUAUUUUGGGUAACUAAAUUUAACAUUUGCACAUACAAAUGUUAAAGUACAAAUGUUAAAUCUAGUUACCCAAGCAGAAUAUGAAGAUAGUUUAUAGUAUAUAUAUACUAUAUAAAUCUAGUUAACAUUUAGUCUAAAUGUUAAAUCUAGUUACCUAAAAUCCUGAAAGCAAAAUGUAUAAAUAUAUAUCUUUUAAGGCAGUAUAAGCUUCGAUUCCUAUUGCUGCUCUGUUAAAUCUCAUCUUUCGUUGUGGCCCAACACUCUAGUAUGCAUGUUGCACCAAGCUUCUUUGAGCCGCUCUGCCCUCUGAUUUUGCUGCGUAGGGGAAUCUUUAUCAGGUUGGGCUACUUCCAGUUGUGCGAUGUAAAGAUUCGUAUUUUCUAGAAGGUAGACAAAAAACUCGCGUUCUCUUAAGGCAACAACCGGAAGAUUCUGCAGCGCACAGGGCAUACCAUUAUUGUAGAAACGACCUUUAGUACCGAUCUCCAACCCCCUUUAAAACUGGUUUUGCAACCGGUACCGUUAUGUCGGUCCUUUAGUACCAGAUCAAAUAAGUACCGGUUGGUAACCAGUAUCAACUUGUUUUGCGGCCAAAAAAAUAAAGAAAAAAACAGUCAGAAGGCUCGCGCACACGCGCAUCACAUGAAAUAUGCGUGUGCGGGGUCCAUGGGAUUCGAACCCAUGAAAUCAAGCUGCGCGCGACCCUUCGUUACCAUCUCACCUACAUAGCGCAUAUGCUUUCCUGAAGUAACCCGUGGAGGAGGCUUUAGUACCGGGUCAUAACACCACCCGGUACUAAAAAUGACUCUUCAGUACCGGGUCAUAACACCACCCGAUACUAGUAUCGGAUGGUGUAAUGACCCGAUACUAAAAGGCCUCUAGGGACCCUCAAAUUUGAACCCGGUACUAAUGCUAAUAUUAGUAGCGGGUCAAAGUGCAGCCAGAACUAAAGCAUGGGAUGAAAGGUCAUAUUUCUAGUAGUGUAUAGUUGUUGUGAAGGACUGACUUGGCUGUCCUCUCUCUUCUCCAUCCCCUUGGUCUUACGCCGCCGCUCGCACGCGAGCCGGUGCCCAACCAGAGGAGUGAGAGCUAGGGGCAGGUUGGGAGGUGGGGAUAGUGACUGGUGGCCAGGGUGAUGGUUGAUCCUGGUGGGGUUAGGGUUUUAGGGUUUUCGAGCUUCCUAUGGUCGGCGAACCUAGAGGAGGAGCUCAACAUCAGCUGCAACCCGCGAUGGUGGUGGUUUGGCCGGCGCCCGAGGCGAGGCAGCGCGGGAGUGCUGCCGGUGGGUUGGUGUUGGCACUCAUUAUUGACAACUAUUUUGUUCAUAAAAUAACACUCAAACUUGCUGCUGCUGCUGCUGCUGCCAUCGCCACCCUAGCCAUAAUAUAAAGGCAAAAUUUGCUAAAGGACAUGCAAAAUGAUGCUAGUUUGCUGGCGGGCAUCGUUGACCUUGUAAUAUGCUACAAGACACUCUAGUUGUGUAUCAAUUUGCUGAAAGACAUUGCUAUGACUAAAAUAAUGUUUCUGGACUGAGUUGGAGAGAGAGAUGGAGUGAAAUGUCUGUUUUGCCCAUGACCCCACUGGUCAGAUCCUUCUUCUUCCACCCUCCUUUGUUCUUUCUUCAACCAUUACCCAGCUCCAGCGUGUUGCAGAUCUACGAGGGUGGCGGCCUGGGGCGAGGGGCAUCGCUCGCCCUUGGAGGAGCGCUGCGAGCGACGGCGCGGGGGCGGCAACAGCGCGUCAGAACCUGACUGUUCGUUAGCUCCUCUCGCUGCUGGGGAAGGAGGGGGAUGGGCCAUGGACGGGGUUCCCUUGAAAACCUCAGCGUCGAGCUCGGGCGGCUACGCGCAGGCAGCACUAGGCUGCUUCACGGGGAGGGGGCGCGGCCAAUCAUUGGCACCCCACUGGUCCAAUGCUGAUGAAGAUGGUGCCAGCGUCGUGUGAGGACAUCUCAUCUCCUCGAGUUCCAUGGCCAGCACAGGUGAGCUGCCGCUACCACAAAACAGAGGUUUCGUGAGAGUCAAAAAACCUUAUGAAAAUAGCUAAAACCAUCAUGAAAAUAAUCCGUGACAUGACACUCUCACGAAAAUCCUCUCACAAAUAUGGUGCCAUGAAAAUACCAUUUUCAUGAGAGUGAACUGUCAUGAUUUUAUUUCGUGAGAGUAUUUCCUAUCAAUGACCUCCACGAAAUACUUUGUGCCACCAGGUCUUCAAGAUCAUUUUCAUGAGAGCUGAACAUCAGGAAAAGUCCGCCACAAAUGUUUUUCUUGGAGCCCCUAACUCUCAUGAAAAUCAUGCGGGCCGCCACGAAAAACAGCAUGACCAAAUGACAAAUUUCAUUUUCAUGUGUUCAUACCGCCAUGAAAAUGGUCAUUUUCAUGAGAGUUGAUGAAACAAAAAAUAGUGCCAUUUUCAUGAGAGUUCAAGCAACCAGGAAAAGACACUAAUAAACAUCCAGAUCCCAUCCAGCACACAUCCAUGCACAUAUAUAACCCACAUAUUGCUCCAGCACACAUCCAUGCAUAUACAAGAUCCAAAUGUUAAUAUAGUAGACAUCCAUGCCUGAACUAGUCUGCCACACAAGUCAUUGAUGCUACAAAUCCUACAAUCGCAGCAUGUGCAUACAAGUCACAGAAUGAGACAAUGUACCCAAAACUAAAAGGUUAGCAUCAACUGUGCUUCAACCAAAGUUGUCAUCCCAACUCUCCUCUUCAUCCAUGCCAUUCUUGUCGUGGCCGUCACUGUCAGUCCCCAUGGCAUUGCCAAUGCUGUGCAUGUCUUGGUAGGAACCUACAUGUGAUGAACUAGUAACCUGCAAAAAGAGCUCAAAGGAUCUUGUUCUCAUAUUGUAGCUGUGAAAUUCUUACAAGUAGUGUUGCAAUCAGUUCACUUUGAACCAAAAGAGCUCAAAGGAUCUUGUCCUAAAAGUUCCUCAUAAAGCUUAUGGGUUUGCUGGUGGAACUGGAAGGGCUUGAUGCAGCAGAUGCCAUUCUGCAAUAGAGAAAAAUUUAGAGAGCAGUACUAGUUAAAAUUGGAUGCAGAAGAUACACAUGAAACUAGUAUUUAUACAAGUCUAUACAAUUAAAAUCUAAGGAGACUUAUCAUCGUUUUCAUGUGUUGUGAAUUAAAAUAAUGAAGGAUACACUGUUAGGUGAAAAUUCAAGAAACAAAAUUUUGCAUAGAGAUAAAGGUCCAACAUUAUUACAAGUUAAGGUAGUUUUAAAUAUCCUUGUAAUCUUCCUUUGGUUUCCUCAACGAUUCGAAGACAAUAACCUUGCUUCUAUCAAUGAUAAUUAUAAGGAGAAUCCAGUGGAAACUGUGUAUUCGUAUUAGAACUACCUAAGGUUAAUUAGGUUAGGAAAGGAAAUUGAAAAUAGAUGGUACCCACACUUACUUAAAGUUGUCGGGCAAUAGUAUGUAAUGCUUGUAAUUCCGUUGCUCCAAGAAUUUGUAUAUGUGGUCCAAUGUAGACUUUGGUUGAUCCCGUAUCUGCUGUUGGUUAAAUAAGUGUUUCUAGCCAUUUCUAGCCAUUAGAACCGGGACUAAAGGGGGCUCUUUAGUACGGGUUGAUAUUACUAACCGGGAUUAAAGAGCCCCCAUUAGAGUUGGUUUUUGGAUGCGGAACUAACAACUCCUUUAGUCCUGAGUACGAAAACAACUGACAUAUUUGUUGCUGGAUGGAAGGUCCUUUCUCUACCGUGAAUAUUGCCAGAAAGAAUUGAAAGAGACUGCUUGCUAAAAAUAUGUCAUAGAUGUAGACCAAGCUACCAAGGAGGUAGACCAAACAUGAUACACACCAUGCGUACCUUGCUGUGCAGACUAUGCAUUGACAAGAUACCCGACCACAUGUUGGCCUCGGUCACAUCAAAAGAAUCAUGUAGGCCACCAAUAAACUACUUGAAGCGGCAUUCCGUAUCGUAUAUGCAUUGCCGGUUCAUCUGCAUUACAUUACAUAAAGCACUAUUAACUAUUUGAAUAAAAUGAACCAAUUUAAAAGUAAUGUGUUGUACUCUACUAUAGAAAGCCCUAUCACUGCCGGAUCCAAAAACAUCAUUGUUAAUGGUGGUUAAGUACCAAAUAUGACGGUCAAUAUUCUCAAGAAUAAUGGAGAAUUAGCAUUUCUUAGACACAUAUUUGGUUUUGAACAAUGUAGUUCCACAUGUCUUUGGAGAUUAUUUGGGUGUGGGUGAAAUAAUACAAAAAUAAGGAGAAAACACACUCCCAUGGCGAAGAAACACAACUCCAACCAAUGAGAGAUAGCCACAGGGGCAGCACACGGAUCCAUGGGCCCACUAACCGCAUCAAACCAUCUUACCAAGGCAGGUAGCACCCACAACCGUCAUUAGGACCCACCUGGAAGUCUACCAAGAAGAAGGUUGCGAGUGGGGCCAGGAGGGGUUCGGUUGAAUCAUCUCUAGCUAGCUCCCCUCAUCCCCAGCUGGUGGGUGGUGGUGGUUGAUGGUGUCCCUACAUCAGUUAGAGGAGAUUCCCCCAAAUAUUCCUCCUGUAAACCACCUCUAUGGACCUAUACAUAGAGGGGUGUGCUCUCCAUUCCAACACACACCACAAGUUGAAUCACUCUCUCCCUCUUUAGUUUCCAAGUUUAUGGAGUUAGGCUAGAGUAGCUCUGCUCAAGGUUCCAAGUCCACUUGGAGUUAAGCAUAUGUCUCUUGUAUCGUUAUUUCCUAAAUUGACUUUAUGCUUAGUUCUUAUAUGCAUGAGUUAGUCUAAUACCCUUGCUAUAUUGAUAUGCUCGGCUUAUAUGCUCGUAUGCUAGUCAUAUACCCUUGCUGUCGUAGUAUAGGCUUAUAUGCUCUCAUGUGUGCCUGUAGACCUUGCUAUAGUAUAUACUUGUUGUGCAUACAUACCAUGUAUAGGCUAGUCGAUCUAUACCAUGGCAUUGGUUCAAUAGCCAUGUUUUUGGUGGCUCCAACCCUAGUCACAAUAGCUCGGGACAGCUGGAGUGUUGUUAAAAAUGCAAGAGUGGUGCUUGGGUUGUUUAGCAUCGUUGGAUAUGGGUUUGCCCCACGGGUUUCUAACGGUAGGCGGCAGCUAGUGACAUCCCUGUCCGUCCUUCGUAAUCCCCCCACAUUCAGGUACGCCAUAAAUGUUCGUAAAUUAGCAGUAACUACGCCGGUACACCUGUAGGGUAUUGUCUCCCUGUAGUACCUUGGUGCAUAGAACUAAGUCCUAUACACUGUGUGUGUAUGUUUACGCUGAUAUGAUCUGUGCAGUAUAUAGGAUGUAUAUAUGAACCUAGAGCUAACUCCUAGUCCGUUCUCCAUAGCUUAGUUAUCUUGAGAUGAUUCUUCUGUAUGUGUAACACUACCCAUCUUAUCAUUAUCCUUGAUCCUGUCUUGUGUAAUAUAUCUACUCAUCCUAUGAUAUACUCAUAUGCAUAGUAAACUAUUUUGACCUACCCGCCUUCCUUUGGGAAAUAUGAUACCUUGGAAUAAUCCUAGGUGAAAUCCUACAACGGUAUAUCCAUGUAAAUGCGGAUUUAUUCAUGACCAUUAAAUAUACCAACAAUCAUCACUGUGAGUUUUGGGCGUCGUUAGUGAAGGGUUGGUAGUGAUGGGCAUCCCCUUCACCAAUGGACCUGGAACCGGCGGUGAUGGCUAUUAUAAAAAAGGGGACACCACCCAGCGUACCCCACGACCCGGCCGGCCGCACCUCCCAUCAUCCCCGCCAGCCGCCCUUCCUUUUCGCCGGCCGAGCAUGGUCCCGGCCUUUGUCCCUACCACCUCGCCUCCACCGCGACCCCCCGCCGAUGCCCUCGUGCCUGGCCCCCCUCAUCUUGCCGGCCACCCUCCCGAUGCGUCCACUGGGGCCCUCGCACCACCAACCGCCCUUGCUUAGAGAGGGAGAGAGAGGAGGGAGGUGAGGCCACGCACCUCGUCCUACACCGCCGCUGUUUCUCCUCGGCCCACCGCGCCUCACCCCACACCACAGCCGCGCCUUGCCAUCUUACCGGCUGUGACGCCUCAUCUCACCGGCCACCGUUCCUCACCCCCACUUCGGUCGUCGCCGCUCCUUGCCCUACCGCUGCUCUUUGCCGCUGCGAAUGAGCGCCGAGUGGAGGAGGAGGGAUGGGGCAGGAGGAGGGCAAGAUCCGGGAGGAAGGGAGAGAUCUCGGGAGGUGGAGAUGGAAGGAUAUGGCGGAAGGGAGAGAUCCAGAGGGAGAGAGCAGGGGAGAGAGGGGGGCGUGUGGGGAGAGAGCGCGUGUGGGGUGGGGCCGGGCUGGUGGGAUGGAAGGGAGAGGGGCUAGACGGGCGCAGUGCAUUCAACUGGAUGAAGUAAAUAUUUUGGAUUCGAGACCCCAGCUUUAUUAUCACCGCUGGUCCGUAGUACCAUCCGGUGCCUGCUCGUAAUUUAAUUUGAAUCUGCGGUGAUGUUUUAUUAUCACCAUCGGAUCAUAUAAAAAUCCGGCGGUUAAAAAUCCGCUGGUUUCGAUGAAAACCGACGGUGAUAGGAUGACUGUGAUAGUCUCUUCUCUAGUAGUGGUAUAUUAGUACCGGCUGCCGGAUGGUGUUGCCGACCAGUACUUCUCCGGGGGCGAUUCAGUACUGCUGUUAGCAAAGCUUGUUCUCUAUGAAUUUGGGGAUGGAAAGCUAGUUCUCUAGUUGUGAUUUGUUACAUAUAUAUCUAUGAUAGUCUAGAAAUUGCAUGUCCUUCGUUGACAUAGUUGAAGCUGCUUCAAGAAUUUACUUCGUGCAGUCGUGCAGCAUAUUGGAUUAUCACCUAGACAGGAUACAUAGGUGAAGCAUUGGAUGUGAUUGUGGCCGAUAAUUAUGCAGGACGCUGUUGCAAUCAACCACCAAGAAGUCUGGAGUGAUGGGGUUGCCUCAUCAAUAAUUUUUAUAUAUGGCUGCAGUAUUAUUAAGCCCACGUCAAUAAUUUUUUGUCCGCACCAUAUAUCGAUGGGGUUGCCUCAUCAAUAAUUCGCGCAACCAGACAAGCUGCAGACUCAAUAUGGUACGAAGCUAGUUGCUCAGCCCACAUGCUCUGAUAUAACAUUGACAUCUGCUGAUCUACAGUAUAUAUGACCAGAAAUAUUGUGCCCACCUCAAUAACUUUCUGAAGUAUCGUGGGGAAGAACCUACGCGUACUAUGCCUCGGAACUAACUGACAUAUCGGCCCAGGCGGUCUAGGCCGAUUGGACUGGCUCUUCCUUGUGGCUUCUCACAUCCCCUUCGUCCCCAAGUAAUUUCAGGUGUUCUGUAGUUUUCUUUUCACUUGCAUCUGAGCCUCCUAUAUCAAUAGCUUCGGGAUAAGAAUGCCUCUUGAUAACCUUCCAAAUCCUCGCUUGAUUCACAUUGAUUCCGAAAUCAUCUUGCCAUAUCUUCAGAGACUUAGGUCCUAAGGCAUCAUGGAGGAUUGCUCGCCAAGAAUGAGCACCAUUGGGCUCCUGAGGACCCUAGGCCGAUCAGCCCGGGCUCUAUAGGUCGAUUGGCCCAGGCCCUCUCUGGGCCUGUUGGCCUUCAUCUUUCUUUGAGUCGACGCUUAUUCAGGGCUUUGUCCAAUUAUAGUCCAUUAUAGUCUAAUUUCCUAAAAAACAGAAUGUCCUCCAAAAUACAAUGCAUAUGUGAAAACAACCCAAUUAUUAGGUAUGAUCAAUAGUUUAGGUAUUAAAUUAAUAUUAUUAUUUAAGAUAAACAGGGGUAAAGGGUGUCAUUAAUAACAAGCGCCAACAAGCGUCCUAGCUGUUCAAUAAAUUUUUUCUAGUACCGAUUGGUAACACUAACCGGUGCUAAUAUGUACCCUUUAUUACCGGUUAUUUUACCAGGUACUAAAGGAGACAAGAGCAUCCUAACAUAAGGUUAAUAUCAUCCAUUUCAUGAGUAAAAUACUAUGAUUCAAAAAUAAUUCAAAUCCCUUAAGACAAUACCUAUCAAAUGAGUAAAUUGUAAAUAGAGUAAUCUUGAUCAAACAAUGUCCUAAUGAAACGGAACACUUCUGGUUCGUGUAGAGCACAAUAUAGAAAACAGUAGGGUAGCUGUAUGAUUGACACGUGGUCCAUUAAUUAUUGAGCCAACACUAUGGACAUGUCUUCAUGAGUAGUGUACUAGUCAUAAUACAUGGUAUGCAGUAGGUGGAGGUAUUGACUUAGCCAUGCUAUGAGCACUUAGUUACAACAAACACUUUGCCAUUAUCGAGCAUCCCAAAUCACUACAAAAUCCAUAGUUUACCAUAUACUACAAAAUCUGAGUUAAAAUAAGAGCAUACACGGAAGAGUCCGAAUGCACGGCACAUUGAAUUACUAGACAAAAUUUAUGGGACAAGGUUUUGGGUAACCGCAUGAAAAAUAUUGGAUUUUACUGAACACUUAGUUACAAUUACCAUGCCCGUGAGCACUUAGUCACCACAAACAUUUAACCACUUUAGAUCAUCCUGAAUCCCUAUAAAUUCUAUACCUUACACCGUACCAUGAAAACGACAAGAACAGAGACAGAUGCGGUGAAAAUCUCCAGAGCAAGCCUGAAAUUAAAAUAAGAGGAGGCAGUCACUAUCGACAGGACACGGAGAUUGCUAGCCAUGACAGAGGAAGACAUGAUAUGAUAUUCACCUCUGAAAUGCAGCGUAGACUAAAUGAAGCACAAUUGCAAGUGAGUGUGGCAGAUAAUGGACCAUCGAGACCAUCGAAUGGUAUGAAGCAUGAUUAUCACCUAGACAUGAUAUCCUAGACAGGACGGUGAAUUGUAAAAAGAGUAAUCUUGAUCAAAGAAUGUCCUAAUGAAACGGAACAUUUUUGGUACGUGUAGAGCAAAAUAUAGAAAACAGUAGAGUAGUUGUACGAUUGAAACUGCAUCCAUCGACGUGGUGCAUGAAUUGUUGAGCCAACACUGUGGACAUGUCUUCAUGAACACCAUCUAGUGAGGACAGCAUGCAGAAAAAUAUAAAAACAUGUCAUAGGGAGGCAGACCAAUCUUGCGAGGUAGACGAAACGUGAUACACGAUCUGCCUACCUUGUCGUGUGGAUACCCCAAGUGAAGAUGUCAUAGAGGUGCAGACCAAGCUAGCAAGGAGGUAGAUGAAACGUGAUACACGGCCUGCCUACCUUGCCGUGGAUAUUAGUCCUGAUAUCAUUCUAUUGUUCAAGGAAUAACACUCAAUGCUGCUGCUGCUGCUGACCUGGCUCCAUAAAGUUAUAUUCCUCUAGCCGCUUGCACUAACUUUAUCUGAAGUAUUAUUCUCUCUGCACUGUAUAUAUGGUUACGGAGUUUGCUGGAGUAUCCGGGGGGAAGAACCUACAUAAUAUGUCUUGGAACUAACUGACAUUGAUUCACAGACAAGGUGCUGUUGUUGACAUGGUACAGUAAAUAAUAUAGUUUACCAUAUACCGUAUACCAUUAUAUGUUAGCUAAAAUAAGAGCAUAACAUGUCGCAGGAGUCCAAAAGCACCGGUUGAGGACCAGGUACAUUAAAUUACUAGAAAACAAAAGGGGACAAGGUUUAGGUAGCCACAUGAAAAACAUUUGAAUUUACUGUACCAUGAACACUUAGUUACCAUGCCGGGAGCACCUAGUUAACACUAACAUUUAGCCACUUUAGAUCAUCCCGAAACACCAAUGACCCUCAAUAGCGACAAAUUUUGGUUUAAAUGCCGUCACCAAUGAUCCUCAAUAGUGACGUGUUUAGGUUUAAAUCCCAUCACUAAUAACCCUUGGUAGUGACGUGUUUUGGUUUAAAUCUCAUCACCACUGAUCCUCACUAGUGACGUGUUUUUAGCAACACACGUUAUGAAUGACUUGUCAUUGGUGACAUGUUAAACGCGUUAUCUCAAUGGCAAAUCAAUGGUGACGUGUUUAAAAAAACAUGUCACUGUGAGAGUUAUUGGUGAAGGGUAAUUAAAAUGCAUCACUAAUUUUGUAGCAUUAGUUAUGAUAUAAUUUUGUAACGCAAAAAUCUACCAUAGUAAUGAGGUUUAGAGCCAUCACUAAUGUGGGUUUCUUAUCGUAGUGAUGCAAGCUCUACAAGGUGCUGUUGUUGCCAUUUUAAAGCAUCCCAAAUGACUACAAGAGUCCGGUUGAGGACUAAACAAAUUGAAUUACUAGAACCAAAUGUAUGUCCAGAACAAAGAAAGGGGUCAAGGUUUGGGUAACCGCAUUAAAAACAUUGAAUUUUACUGUACCAUGAACACUUAGUUACCAUUACCAUGCCUUGAGCACCUAGUUACCACAAACAUUAAUUUAGCCACUUUAGAGGUUCCACAAUCACUAUAAAUAAUAUACCAACACCGUACCAUGAAAACAUCAAGAAGAGAGACGGGUACAUGGACCACCAUCAAGUGAGUAGUGACAGCACGCACAAGAAUACCCGGAACCUUUUAGCUUGUCUGUAGUGAUCUGUUUUCUUCGCCACAAAUAAUGAAAGAGGCUGACCAAGCUAGCAACGAGGUAGAGCAAACGUGAUACACGUAGGUUUCAUUCAAGACAUCCAUGUAAGAUUCAUUCAAAACAUUCAUGGAAAUUUCUUGUAAGUUUUCAUGUAAAUUUCAUUCAAGACAUUUGUUAGAGGUGUUGUAUAUACACUUAACGUACAUAUAUCUAUGAUUUCAUGGUUGUUAGUGAUGGCAGAUGAGGAGCAUGCAAGGUGUUUAAUGGAGCAGAUUAUUGCUAGUGGUAGUGGCUCCAACCUGCCCGUAACGUACACCGACGAAGAGGGCAGCCAGGCGGACAUGUUCCUCAACAUGUCCGGUGAUGGCAAUGAAGAGCCCGAGCAAAACCUUGCCGUGACGGAAGGUUCCAUCGAGGUAUAUAUCAUUUCCAUUAUUUUACCCCAUCUAUAAUUUCAUAUUCAUUAUUACUAUGUGCUAAUUAAUGAAUCUUGAACCGUUAGUCCUCUAGAUCAACGAACCGAAAUAAGCCCCGAGGUCUUACAAAGAUAAUGCAGGGAAGGCUUCACAUCAUGGAAGUCACAGAAGAGGGCACAUCGGUUGCUCCCGAACAUGUGGCAAGAAAGUACGUGAGUCAAACCGGGGCAAUCGUAAGGGACAACAUGCCCAUCAGCAUCAGGGAAUGAAAGAGCAAUAGAAAUGAUCUAUACGCACCCCCGGAUACACAAAAGGAUAUGUUGUGGGCAAAUAUCAAGAAACACUUCACAUUUCCCAAAGGAUAUGUUGAAAAAUAUGUGAAAGCGUGGAUGUUGAAGAAGAUGGCCACCCAAUUCCAGACAUUCAAGAAGAUGUUGGAUGCCAACUUCAUCAAGAAGGGUCGAACUCCGGGUUUCAAUGAGUGGCCAAAGUUAAGGGACCACUGGGAGUCGUUUGUCGAAUACAAGACGAGCGAAGGUGGUGCGAGUAAGGUUCACAUCAAUGUUGCCAAUGCUAGCAAGGAGUACCAUCAUCAUCUAGGGCGACGUGGUUACAGCUCUGCAAUUCCCAGAUGGCGCAAGAUGGAACAAGACCUGAUCGAUCGGGGUAUCGUACCAGCAACUCUUGACUGGAUCGAUUGAAAAAUUGGUAUUAUGCUCAUGAAGGCAAUCUGAGCCAAGAGGAUCCGACAUUGGUCUUCAAUAAAACAAUACGUCAGAAGGUCGGAAGGCUUAUUAGGAACAUUGAAGAUGCUAAAGCUGGGAGGUUCAAGGUGGAUAGAGAGAAUGAUGAACUCACAUUGGCCCUCGGGACUGUCAUCUCUAGCACUUCCAGCUCCAGGACUAUCGUCACCACCGGGACCGUCGCUUCCUGCUCGAUCACAGUCUCCAUCUCCAGCACAUCCUGGUGGUGCGAGCGACGACGACAACAACACCCCUCCCUGCCCACCAUUGCCGGGACUAAGACCCGCAUUGAGUAAGGAACCUGCAACACCACUGAAGAAGUCGCGACCACCACCUUCAAGGCAAGUCAGCAAAAGAAGAAAGCAGAGAAGCCUAAACCCACUGAGAAGCCAGCGACUGAUAUGACCGAUGCGGAAAGAUGGAAGGCACUCAAAGAAGAAUGCAGGGAGUGGUUCAGCGAAGGCGAAGGUGAGAAAGUCGUAUGAAUCGAAUUCAAGGAUAUAUAUGAAGUGAACCAUCAGGAUGCCCUUGAUGUCUCUCUCAUCAGCGCCUAGGUUCUGUAAGUGUAUGUUUAUCUAUAAGUAAAUUUUGGCUCAUAUCAUUAUUUUUUUUGCGUGCGUCACCCUACUAACUUCGUCUUCCAUUUUAUGUAGGAUGCUAAUUCAGACGUGCCGCAUAGAAGCGUACUUCCAUGUUGGAUUCAUGGAUCCAUCCCUAGUUAACCAAAAGCCGAUACGGAAGUAGCUAGAGAAAACGUUGGAGGUGGUGUACAACCUCCUGGACAAACUAAACUACAGAAUAGGGGCAAUAUGUGAGGGUCUUGUAGGAUUCCUAGUGGACGAGGUGAUAAAUCCAUAAGGAGAAUAUCAUUCCAACGGACGAGCAUUAGACACACUGAGCAACACCUAGAUGGGAGGAUCCUAGGAAUGACCUCGACAGAUUUUGGUAUAAAUAGUAAUUGUGUAAAUACUAGUUUGAUUUGUAUAGGAAUAUACUAAGAAUUGUAUAUAUAGUAAUUGUACAAAUACUAGUUUGAUUUGUAUGAAUACUAGAUUGAUUUUAUUAUAAAAAAGUUUUAAGUCGUACGUGCAUGCGCCUACAAAGGCGCGGAUGCCUUUUAAUCCCAGUCGGAAAAACAAACUGGUACUAAAGGGGCUCGUGCCGCACCUGGCAUGACCACCCCUUUAGUCCCGGUUGAACGACCCAGGACUAAAGAUCUCCGCGUCUCAAAAAUUUUAUCUCGGAUGCUUUUUAGAGAGAUUUGAGGCCUAUCAACCAAGACUAAUAUCGAGUUUUCUACCAGUGAAACUAACUAACGUUCACAUGGUUUUGACAUUCACCUGCCAUUUGGUGUAGACAAGGGCACCCUAACAUAUGGUUAAUAUUAUUCUUGAAAGAAAAUCCUUUGAUUCAAAAUACUUCAAACCUAAUAAUACAAUACUUCUCACAUCUGAAAAAUAUGAGACGGCCCGACAGUAUUCUAAUCGACGCAAUAAUAUUUUGAGGGCAGCACUACUACAGCGACCCUCAUUCGUGCCGGUGCUGGGACUCCUAUCACGACCCUGAUACAAAUGAGGGUACAUUAUUGGUGCCAGUGCUAGAACAGCCACGAAUAACUUGCUAAACGUGCUGUUACACUCACUACAGGGACCAAGAAGGUAGAUAAAUUACACGACAUAGCCUUGGUUGCCGUGGAAGCGCCAAGAAGGGAGACAAAUUACAGGGACCACACCAUCAAGUAGAUAGUGACAAUAUGCAAAAGAAUACCCGCGCCUGUUAGCAUGUGAACUGACCACACCACGAAACGUGAUACACGGCAAGCGUACCAAGGCCUUGCUGUGCAGACUAUGCAUGGACAACACAUGGUACCUGACCGCUUUUGGCCUCAGACACAUCGAAAAACUGCAUCGUUCCACGUUGUACAUCCAUUGCUAGUUUAUCUAUAUUACAUAAUAUAUUAUUAGCUAUUUGAAUAGAAUGAACCAAUUAAAAAAUUGCGUUGUAUUUUUAGUACCGGCUGCAGGAUGGUGUUACCAACCAGUACUAAUUGGCCUGUAGGAGUGAUGGUUAUUAGACUUGGUACUGUUGUUAGCAUCAUUAACCUAAUUGUGCGCCGUAUGAAUUUGGGGAUGCAAAGCUAGCUCUCUAUGAAUGUGAGGGAUGGAAAGCUAGUUCUCUAGUAGUAAUUAUAUAUAUGACAGUCAAGAAAUCGAACACUAUGCUGCUACGAGUCACCAUCAUUUCCUUCAUUGACAAUCUGACAUAGGUGAAGCUGCUUCAAUAAUUUCCUUCGCGCAGUCGUGGAGCUUAUUGGAUUAUCACCAGGACGGGACACGGAAAUGGCCAGCAAUGAAGCUGAUUGCCGUCUGAGGAAGACUACAUACUUACCUAUGAAAUGAAGCGAUUGCAUAGACUAAUGAAGCAUUGCAUAUUUGCAUGUGAGUGUGGCAGAUAAUUCUGCAGGACAUGAUUGCAAUCCACGCACCAUCGAGAAGACUGGGGCGAUGGGGUUGCCUCAUCAAUAAUCACGUGGAUGCAUGCAUGCAUGUUCCCGCAACCGGACAAGGGUCUGAUAUAUGGCUAUAGUAUUACUGAGCCCACAUCAAUAAUUUCCACUGGUGUAUCGUGUGGGAAGAAUCAACAUACUACACCUCGAGUUCUUGGAACUAACUGACGUUCACAUGCAACCUCCACAAGGUGCUGUAUGCUUUUGACAUUCACCUGCCAGUUCGUGUAGAGAAGGACACCCUAACGUAUAGUUAAUAUUAUCCAUUUCAUGAGUAAAAUACUGUGAUUCAAAAAUACUUCAAAUCCCUUGAGACAAUACUUCUCACUUGACUAACCACUAACCAACCCCGAAACCCUAACUCAACUCCGAACCCUAACCCCUAACGGCAUAACCACUCCGUUUUGCCGGCGAGAUGGAGGAACUGGCUGGAAGGUAGAGAGGGCAGCGGUCCAGGGUUGAAAACGACGGGCGAGCGCAGUAACAUGUGGAGGAGGAAGUGCCACGUAUUCGUUCACCGCUAUUGGGCAGCGACACACGACACGCCCAAUAAGAUCUUCGCACGGUAGAAGGACGUCAUGUAUUCAAUAAUGUUAUUGGUCCCCCAUGUGCAGAAGGGCGCGCGCGUAUGGAAUAACAAGUAGGGACACUGCAACUAAUCUACUCUGCUCGUCCAGUCCCUAGCCUAUAAAUAGAUGCCAUGCUAGCUCUUGUUGUGCUCACAAUUAAUCCGAUUACACACGAGCUUCUCUCCCUGGCCAAGACACAACCAUAGUAUGAUGAAGAACAUGGCACUAGCCGGCAAUGGUAUGAAGAAGUUAAUCCUCGCUGUUCUCUUACUGUGUCUAGUUAUAGGGCAGAUACAAGUGGAAGCUAAGAGCUGCUGCCCAUCCACCACUGCAAGAAAUGUCUACAAUACCUGCCGUUUCACGGGUACAUCCCGUCCAACGUGUGCAAAACUGUCAGGCUGCAAAAUUAUCAGCGGGAACAAAUGCAAGCCCCCUAACGACCACCUCACCCUUGACCCGGACACUGGUAAAUAAUAAAUUUAUCUCACUUGAUUUCUUCGUGAUUUGAGUCGUUAAUGUAUUUUCCAUCUGAUGAAACGUAUUGGUUUUGCAUUGAAGAGGAAGUUAAUGUGCUUAACUUCUGCAAGUUGGGGUGUGCGUCGUCUGUGUGCAACAACAUCAACGCUGGUAAGCAACUUUUGCUCAGACAGAGAAAACAAUAAUCAUUAAUUAGCGGCAGCUAGAAUCCUAUAAUCUAAUAUAUAUAUAUAUAUAUAAUUUUAUCAGCUCUGGGAAAUGAAGAGGCGAACGAUGCCGUUGAGAGUUGCGACCAAGCCUGCUCUAGCUUCUGCAGCGUGCAUGUUGGCAGCGCCACCGUGGUUGCUUAAGCAAAUGCAUCCAACUAGAUCGUCCUUGUGCUGAAUAAUUGGAUAUCGUAUCCACUUAAAGCUGCCUUGUGUAGUACGUCUUUGUGUCUCUCUUUAUAUUCCAAUAAGGUCGGUGAUCUUGAUGCCACACACUCAGAUGUGUGUUCAUCUCCAGAUACUACUCCAUGCUACCUGCCCUUUGUGUUUUGUUCAAUAACUGGGUAUCAUAUCCCAGCCAGUAUGCCGUCUGUUUUGUGUUUGUUUCCUUCUAGUUCCAAAGGGGUCAUCAUGAUGUUACCUUCUUUCAAUAUGGUGCUUUGCAUGACUACUGUUGUAUGGUACCAUCUUGUGGCCAAUAAGUACAUCUUAUCCUAUGACCUUUGCUAUGACCCUUUGCAAAUAAGUAGAAGAUUGUUAUAAGCGUCAAUACUCCGUAUAAAUUGAUCGCUGCUGUGAGUUCCCUUUCAGCUUAUCGUAGGCAUACAUUAUUGCUAGCACGGUAAAGCCAACCAACACGAAUGAUGAAGUAAACGUAGCGGUACUUCUGUAUACCAACACCCUUACUUAAAUGUACCGGUGUCAUUCCCUACUGGCACAUAUAUUCUUAUAUGCUAGCCAGCUUGUAAAAUUAACCAAUUAAAAUAAUUAUUUCAAGAUAGAAAUAACUUAUCGGUUUCUGGAAGCAUGUGUAAUGUGAAUUCAAGGACUCGACGGAAGUUGAAUCACUUCAUCUAUAUUGCUUUCAGUAUUUUGGGUAACUAAAUUUAACAUUUGCACAUACAAAUGUUAAAGUACAAAUGUUAAAUCUAGUUACCCAAGCAGAAUAUGAAGAUAGUUUAUAGUAUAUAUAUACUAUAUAAAUCUAGUUAACAUUUAGUCUAAAUGUUAAAUCUAGUUACCUAAAAUCCUGAAAGCAAAAUGUAUAAAUAUAUAUCUUUUAAGGCAGUAUAAGCUUCGAUUCCUAUUGCUGCUCUGUUAAAUCUCAUCUUUCGUUGUGGCCCAACACUCUAGUAUGCAUGUUGCACCAAGCUUCUUUGAGCCGCUCUGCCCUCUGAUUUUGCUGCGUAGGGGAAUCUUUAUCAGGUUGGGCUACUUCCAGUUGUGCGAUGUAAAGAUUCGUAUUUUCUAGAAGGUAGACAAAAAACUCGCGUUCUCUUAAGGCAACAACCGGAAGAUUCUGCAGCGCACAGGGCAUACCAUUAUUGUAGAAACGACCUUUAGUACCGAUCUCCAACCCCCUUUAAAACUGGUUUUGCAACCGGUACCGUUAUGUCGGUCCUUUAGUACCAGAUCAAAUAAGUACCGGUUGGUAACCAGUAUCAACUUGUUUUGCGGCCAAAAAAAUAAAGAAAAAAACAGUCAGAAGGCUCGCACACACGCGCAUCACAUGAAAUAUGCGUGUGCGGGGUCCAUGGGAUUCGAACCCAUGAAAUCAAGCUGCACGCGACCCUUCGUUACCAUCUCACCUACAUAGCGCAUAUGCUUUCCUGAAGUAACCCGUGGAGGAGGCUUUAGUACCGGGUCAUAACACCACCCGGUACUAAAAAUGACUCUUCAGUACCGGGUCAUAACACCACCUGAUACUAGUAUCGGAUGGUGUAAUGACCCGAUACUAAAAGGCCUCUAGGGACCCUCAAAUUUGAACCCGGUACUAAUGCUAAUAUUAGUAGCGGGUCAAAGUGCAGCCAGAACUAAAGCAUGGGAUGAAAGGUCAUAUUUCUAGUAGUGUAUAGUUGUUGUGAAGGACUGACUUGGCUGUCCUCUCUCUUCUCCAUCCCCUUGGUCUUACGCCGCCGCUCGCACGCGAGCCGGUGCCCAACCAGAGGAGUGAGAGCUAGGGGCAGGUUGGGAGGUGGGGAUAGUGACUGGUGGCCAGGGUGAUGGUUGAUCCUGGUGGGGUUAGGGUUUCAGGGUUUUCGAGCUUCCUAUGGUCGGCGAACCUAGAGGAGAAGCUCAACAUCAGCUGCAACCCGCGAUGGUGGUGGUUUGGCCGGCGCCCGAGGCGAGGCAGCGCGGGAGUGCUGCCGGUGGGUUGGUGUUGGCACUCAUUAUUGACAACUAUUUUGUUCAUAAAAUAACACUCAAACUUGCUGCUGCUGCUGCUGCCAUCGCCACCCUAGCCAUAAUAUAAAGGCAAAAUUUGCUAAAGGACAUGCAAAAUGAUGCUAGUUUGCUGGCGGGCAUCGUUGACCUUGUAAUAUGCUACAAGACACUCUAGUUGUGUAUCAAUUUGCUGAAAGACAUUGCUAUGACUAAAAUAAUGUUUCUGGACUGAGUUGGAGAGAGAGAUGGAGUGAAAUGUCUGUUUUGCCCAUGACCCCACUGGUCAGAUCCUUCUUCUUCCACCCUCCUUUGUUCUUUCUUCAACCAUUACCCAGCUCCAGCGUGUUGCAGAUCUACGAGGGUGGCGGCCUGGGGCGAGGGGCAUCGCUCGCCCUUGGAGGAGCGCUGCGAGCGACGGCGCGGGGGCGGCAACAGCGCGUCAGAACCUGACUGUUCGUUAGCUCCUCUCGCUGCUGGGGAAGAAGGAGGGGGAUGGGCCAUGGACGGGGUUCCCUUGAAAACCUCAGCGUCGAGCUCGGGCGGCUACGCGCAGGCAGCACUAGGCUGCUUCACGGGGAGGGGGCGCGGCCAAUCAUUGGCACCCCACUGGUCCAAUGCUGAUGAAGAUGGUGCCAGCGUCGUGUGAGGACAUCUCAUCUCCUCGAGUUCCAUGGCCAGCACAGGUGAGCUGCCGCUACCACAAAACAGAGGUUUCGUGAGAGUCAAAAAACCUUAUGAAAAUAGCUAAAACCAUCAUGAAAAUAAUCCGUGACAUGACACUCUCACGAAAAUCCUCUCACAAAUAUGGUGCCAUGAAAAUACCAUUUUCAUGAGAGUGAACUGUCAUGAUUUUAUAAGCGUCAAUACUCGGUAUAAAUUGACUACUGCUGUGAGUUCCCUUUCAGCUUAUCGUAGGCAUACAUUAUUGCUAGCACGGUAAAGAGAACCAACACGAAUGAUGAAGUAAACGUAGCGGAACUUUUGUAUACCAACACCCUUACGUACCGGUGUCAUUCCCCACUGCCACAUAUAUUCUUAUAUGCUAACCAGCUUUGAAAAUUAAGCGAUUAAAAUAAUUAUUUCAAGAUAGAAAUAACUUAUCGGCUUCUCGAAGCUUGUGUAAUGUGAAUUCAAGGACUCGAUGGAAGUUGAAUCGCUUCAUCUAGAUUGCUUUCAGGAUUUUGGGUAACUAAAUUUAACAUUUGCACACACAAAUGUUAAUGUACAAAUGUUAAAUCUAGUUACCCAAGCAGAAUAUGAAGAUACUCUAUAGUAUAUAUGUACUAUAUAAAUCUAGUAAACAUUUAGUCUAAAUGUUAAAUCUAGUUACCUAAAAUCCUAAAAGCAAAAUGUAUAAAUAUAUAUCUUUUAAGGCAGUAUAAGCUUCAAUUCUCUGUUAAAUCUCAUCUUUCGUUGUGGCCCAACACUCUAGUAUGCAUGUUGCACCAAGCUUCUUUGAGCCGCUCUGCCCUCUGAUUUUGCUGCGUAGGGGAAUCUUUAUCAGGUUGGGCUACUUCCAGUUGUGCGAUGUAAAGCUUCGUAUCUUUUAGAAGGUAGACAAAAUACCCGCGUUCUGGAAGAUUCUGCAACGUGCACGUUGGCGCUGCCACCGUGGUUGCUUAAGCAAAUGCAUCCAACUGAAUCGUCCUUAAGCUGAAUAAUUGGAUAUGGUAUCCACUGCUUAAAGCUGCCAUGUUUAGUACGUCUUUGUUUUUCUCUCUUUAUAUUCCAAUAAGGUCGGUGAUCUUGAUGCCACACACUCAGAUGUGUGUUUAUCUCCAGAUACUACUCCAUGCUACCUACCCUUUGUGUUUUGUUCAAUAACUGGGUAUCAUAUCCUAGCCAGUGUGCCAUCUGUUUUGUGUUUGUUUCCUUCUAGUUCCAAAGGGGUCAUCAUGAUGUUACCUUCUUUUGAGGUGUCUAUGAUGACUUCGUUAAUAUCAAUAUUAACCAAUUCAAUCUGUCUUAACUAUUUGUAAGGGGUAUGAUGUAUGCAUGAUUAUAACAAUGAUUGCGCAUACAAUCGCCGCCAAAGAAACGGUCAAUACCAUUAAGACAUAUUACAGACAAUUCUCAUAAUCUAUAAUGAAUAUACAUAUUCACUACUGCAGAAGACUGUCAUUUGUAUCGGCUCAUACGUGCCAGGGCAAAGGUCACCCUUGCAUUAAGUACAUUUGCACGGUAAAGACAACCAACACGAAUAAUGAAGUAAACAUGCCGGUGCUUUUGUACACCAACACGCUUACUUAAAUGUACUGGUGUCAUUCCUCACCGGUAGCCGGCUUGAAAAUUAACCAAUUAGAACAAUUAUUUAUUGUAUCGGUGUGAUUUUUGACCUAUUGGAAUAUGAAUUUGACCGUUACUGCAUUCGUCAAGACUCAAGAGAGAAAUAACUGAUCGGCUUCUUAGAGCGUGUGCAAUGUGAAAUCAAGGACUGGAUGGAAGUUGAAGCGCUAGCACUAGUAGAGAAACGACUUUCCAUCCACCCCCUUUUGUCCCGGUUUAAAGUUGGCUCGGGAUAAAAGGUUCACCAACCGGGACUAAAACUCAGUCACUGGUGGGAGGCUCACCAACCGGAACCUUUUAUCCCGGUUGCAAAGGCUAAUGGGAAAAAAAGACUCUGAGAGGCCUUUUAUCCCGGUUUGAAACACCAACCGGGAUAAAAGACCCCCCUUUUAUCCCGGUUGGUAACACCAACCGAGAUAAAAGGGUCAAGAGCCUUUUAUCCCGGUUGGAAACACCAACCGGGAUAAAAGACCCCCUUUUAUCCCGGUUGGUGUUUCAAACCGGGAUAAAAGGGCCCCCACGAGGUGACUGGAAGGUGACUGGAAGGGGAUUAAAUCGUGGGGGACCCUUUUAUCCCGGUUGGAAACACCAACCGGGAUAAAAGGGGGUCUUUUAUCCCGGUUGGUGUUUCCAACCGGGAUAAAAGGGUCCCCCACGAGUUAAUACAAAAGGAUAGUAUCCCCUACAUAGUCAGAUGUGGUGUGUAGGUGGGAUGGUAAGGAAGCUACGCGCGAGCUCCGGAAUUUUUUUUUUUUUUUUUUGCAGCGUCGGCGCUCUCUACCCUUUUAUCCCGGUUGGUAUUACCAACCGGGAUAAAAGGGGGUCUUUUGUCCCGGUUGAGUGACCCGGGAUAAAAGACCCCCCCUUUUUUCCCCGGUUAGUUUAUCCCGGAUGCAUUUUCGGGAUAAAAGCACCCUACCAACCGGGAUUAAAGCUCACUUCUCUACCAGUGUAGCUUCAUCUUCCGCUGCAAGUUAAUUGCUUGGAUAAGAAGUUGUAGCCGCUGCAAGUUAUAAAUAGUCCCGCUGAUGCUGUGCUCCGAAGUCUAUACUAUAUAUGCGGAAACUAGAUUGCUUUCAGGAUUUUGGGUAACUAAAUUUAACAUUUGUACAUAAAAAUGUUAGUUUACGAAUGUUAAAUCUAGUUACCCAAGCAGAACAAGAAGAUAGUAUAUAGUAUAUACUAUAUAAAUCAAGUUAACAAUUAGUCUAAAUGUUAUAUCUACUUACCCAAAAUAUUGAAAGCAAAGAAAGAAUAAGUAUAUAUCUUUUGUUGGAAAAUUGGUCCACGGAGAGGCCCAUUUAGGCCUCGUUCGUUUCACCGGGAUGGGAUUCCAGUCAGGAUUACUUCCAAGUUCGGUUUGAGUGAUUCCACCCGUGUCACUCAAUCCGGCUAGGAUUCAUUCUAUGGGUGAGGAGGUAUGGUUUCAAUCCAGGCCAUCUAAUGUAGAAGGAUUCCAAUCCAGGCCGGUUUUCGUUCCAGGCCAGACUAAAACGAACAACACUUUCAAUGCAAGUCUGGUUUCAAACCGGGCCAUUUCAAACCACCCGGAAUGGACCUCGUUCCAGGCCAAUCCGGUGAAAACAAAUGAGGCCUUAAUGGAAUCCCAAAGCAAGAGUUCAGUGGCAUUCUAUAGUCCCAUGCUGCUAGUUUGAGUUGGUCGAAGCCAACUUAAAUAGGAGAGCUCUCUCACUUCUCUAAAUACGUAACUGAAGGAGAGAAGGGGGCUUGGGUUACACAACGCACGCACGCACGCAUAUUUGCGUUCUUUUCGCGUAACCAACCGCGUGACUUGAAACUUGCGACGUAGCGUGCUGCUAAGUCAAGUUGAUAUAACCUUUUUGCCGUUUGCAUGUAAUCUUUUGACAACGGUCAUUGGAGGUGAUAAGCACGCAGUCAAUACCUUAAUCUUGAGUUAAUAGGGUGGUUACUACUGCCAAUUAGUGGGGCAAUUUUGUAGGGGAAACGGUUAGCAGAGGGCUACCGUCUUCUCUAUAAGAAGUUCUGGAGACGUCCAGGAACACACAUGUACAUGUGAGAGACCCACAAAUUCCUUCCCUUCUCCCUUUUCCAUGUGGUGAAGUGUGCUGUGGUACUGAGCUGCUUGAUCUCGCCGCUCUUCUCCUUGGCAUGCACCGAGGAGGAGGGUGAGCGGUAUCUCCGAGCUAUUGCCGUCAGGAAGCCUGCACGAGGGACAACAAAAAGUUUUUGGGUAGCGCAACUGCCAGCACAACUCUCCCUCCGCCUCUUCUUCACGGUUGAUGGCCACCACAAGCAUAAACCUCGCCUUCGCAUCCACGCAAAAGGGUCGCUGGGGUGCCUUCUUGCAUCGCUUCUCAGCCUCCUUGACUUGCGGCCAGCCAAGAACUGCGCCACCACCUCGGGUGCACGCCACCACUCCAGGGCUGCUACCCCAUGCCUGCGGCCGCCGCCGGCCACCACGCGUGUGCAACCGCGUCGCACCGCUUCCUUGCUUUGUGCCACCACUGCUGCUGUACCACCAGCUCCACCACCUUGGGCUGGUCGCCAGAGUGACUGAUAACUUAUUAUCUGUAACUACUAUUAACUCAGGGAUACAUGCGUCUUUUGCUUCUCCUACUAAUAUGUCCUAAAAUAUCUAGGAUGCCUUAUAUUUCUGGACAGAGGAAGUAUUUGAAUAAAAUGAACCAAUUUAAAAAAAUGUGUUGUACACUACUACAGAAAGACCUAUCAGUGUCAAACCCAAAAAUGUUGUCACCGCCAGUUUUGGGCAUCAUUGGUGAAAGGUUGGCGGUGAUGGGCUUUCCCUUCAACAACGGCACUGGAGCCGACGGUGAUUGACAUUAGAAAACAAAAAAGGGGACCCUACCUAGCCACCCCUGCAACCCGGCCGGCCGUGCCUCCCCUCAUCCCCACCACCUCGCCUCCCCAUGACCCCCCGCCGGCGCCCUUGCGCCUAGCCCCCUCAACUGCCCAGCCGGCCACCCUCAUCACGAGAGAGAGGUGCAUGUUGUAUAAUUGCGUGAAUUUUUUAAUGUUUAAUUUCAUGUAAGUUCCGUGUAAUAAAUUGUACAAGUUUUAUUGUAUAUAUGAAUUCCAUAUAUAUAUAUAUAUAUUUAUAAUUUAAUGUAUGGUUUCAUGUGUAUAUUUCAAUCAUGUGUAUAUUUAGUAGAUUGCCGAUUUUCUUUUUCUACUAGACAAGGGUUGAUGUAUAAUUACGUGUAUAUGUUUAUUGUACGGGCAAUUAGGACAAGUUUUGUAUAAAUUUCUUUUAUUUGAUGGUUGUUGUAUGGUUUCAUGUAUAUACAUUUAUUGUACUACUUUAGACAAUUUUUAAUUUAAUGUUUCUAUGAUUAGAUGUGUGUAUAACUAAUUGUAUUAUUAGUUAAGAUGGGAGCUAAAGAGGAUGAAAGGUAUAUAAUGGAGCAGAUUAUUGCUAGCUCAAACGUUGCAAGAACCUACACCGAGGGUGAGGGUAGCUAGGUGGACAUGUACCUCAACAUGUCCAGUGAUGGCAAUGACGAUGAGGAGCACGAGCAUGACAUCUAUGAUAAUGCGGAACAAGACAUUGCAGAAUUGGAAGGUUCUAAUGAGGUGUGCUUCAUGUUGACAAUCUAGUUGGCUUUUUUUCGUUGGUCACACCUUAGUUACCAUAGAACUUCGUCUCGGGAGAAGAUUGGUGGUGGUAUGGUGAUUGGAAUUUUAUUUCCACGAAAUCUGAUUUCCAUCGAAUCAUAUCCCUUGUAUUUAUCUUCUUUUUAUUUGUGAGAGCAUCUUCUUUAUGCUUGCAAAACAAUUCAAGUGCACAUACUACCCCUAGGGUGACGAUUGGGAGUAGAAAUAAUUGCCAACAAAACAACACCACAUCCUAAGAUUCUUAACUUGUGGCAUAAUUAGUCUAGUAAAAAGAAAGAUAAAAACCUAAUGGGUGUAUGUGAGUGCAAUGUGUAUAUGCAUAUGAGUGGAAGGCAUAUAAGCAAAGACAAUAUUUACACAUAGUUCUAAACACCAUGUUUACAGCUAGGUUGCUGAAUUUCUCCAUAGCCAUAGAGAUUAAUUAACCAAGGUCAAAACACGAUGUCUAUCCCAAGAUCAGUAAUUAUUUAUAGCACAAGAAAAAGAAAGCGCAUUGCAAAGUUUAUAAACCAACCAAUACAGCAUGAAAACAAGAUGAAUAGCUAGCAAGGUUUAUUAAACUGAAUGAUGACGGUCUGUAAGCAAGUUUAAACACCAUCUUUACACAAGAUUGCAAAUGGAAAAUGCCCAUAUGAAGCACUAACAUGGAUAUGAAAUCAUUCAUCAUAAAGCGUAAAGAACAACCAAGCCAACCAUAUGCAAAGCAUGAAUGGAAUGCAAUGAAGGUGCAAGAGAACAUUUUUGGAUGAACACAUUAUGAUGAUGGCAAAAUGCAAUGCAUGCAGAAAAAAUAAAUAUGAACAUGAAUAUGAUGAUCAGGGGCGGACCCACUAUUGUGGCCUGGGUAUUCCUCGGCAUACCCAAUAUUUUUGGGAAAAUGUUUAGUAGUUUUUAAUGGCAUAUACAUGUAUAAUAUAGUUUAGGUGUUAAAAUUGAUAUUCACAGCUAUUUUGGGCUCCAAUUCGCGUCCAAACCAACCUGGCCCACAGACCGCACCCGGCCGCCCGGCCCAUCGGCCCAUCUUGUCACUGAUCCUCCCACCACCACACUCAGCCCGUCAGUUAGUCAGGUCCCGAGCUCCUGCCUGACCUAGUCCGCUACCACCGCCAGGCGCCAGGCACAGCUGUACACGCCGCCCCCGUCCACCCACGUCCGCCGCACGGCCGCGUCGCGCCCCCCCCCGGCGCCCGCUGCUGCCAGAACCCAUUAGGCCUCCACCGGCAAGUCCACCCACAGUCCCGCGCGACGCGGCAGCCUCUUGGCUCUCGGCGCUCGCGGCGCGCCAAUGCCUGCGCAGCCCCAGCAGGCGACUGCCCCCCCCCCCCCCGCAUCGGGCCUCGGCCCCUCCCCAGCUCCCCCUCCCCCCUCCACCAGGACUGCCUGCUGGCCCCCACCGCGAGGUAAUCGAAAUGGACUGCUCAAUCUCUCAAUCUGUUGACAUGAUGCACACGGUUGCAAAAAUAGAUGUGUCAAAAUAGAUGUAUUGCCAAUUGCUAUAGAUGCAUAUGGUUGACAUGAAGAAGUCAAAAAUGACAUUUGGUUCCUUGUAGGCAGUCAAAAAUGAAGAAGUCAAACAAUAUUGAUCUGAAAUCAAUGCGGGAAAGGGCUACGAAGACACACGGGUAGAUUCCCUUGUGAACUUUUUAUGUCGUUCGUCUAAAUAUAUUUUUGCAAUGGGCAUACCCUACUCUGAAAUCCUGGGUCCGCCACUGAUGAUGAUGGUCUAAACAUAAAACAAGCCUAGAUUAAUUAGCUACAACUGAAAUUAAGCAAAGGUUAAUGUCAUUGACCCUAGCUCUAUCCUAGCUUUUACUAAAGUCCCGGCACAUAUAGUGGUUGGGCCCACUCUCUCUACUUCCCUCUCUGCUGCAUGCACACACACGAGCAACUGGAGGCCCAACAAAGCCCAGAAGGGUUCGGCCGAACCCGUCCGAUCCAGUCUGAGCGCCGCUCCCUCCCAGCCUUCGCGCAGAUGCUCCUCCAACGUUCCUUGACCCCUCCCUCAGUGUCCCAUUGGGUUUAACAUUGUAGGAGAGGAGUCCCUUUUUUAAAAUCUCAACCACCUCCUCUCCUCAUUCACUCCACUCUCAUCUCCAUCAAACUCACCAAGAUCCACAUCGGAAAUACCUGCUUACCACCAUGGCUGGCAAAGCCCUCGUCCCUUUCACCAACUUGGGCUUGACCAUUGAUCUCGAUGGGAAAAUCACUCCAGCAAAUGUCAUUGUCCCUGUCGGCGAUCUGGCGAUGGAGGAGGUCCAGGCACUAGAGGUCGAGCCCCUAGCCAUCAUACCGCCCAAGGGGUAAAGCAGGAGCAUGACAGGCGCUGCUAGGGGUUCAGCCGAACUCCCAGUUCAGCCAAACGAGGACGGCGUCGCCUCGGCCUCCCGCUCGACUGCAUGCUUCCCCUUGCCAAGGAGGACUCCAGAACAGCGGGCGCGUGCGUCAAGUCCCUACAAAAGGCUGAAAUACAAUGAAUAUCCAGGGUCACCCUUGAAGAUGGGUGAACGCUACGCCGGGUCCUUGUUUGACUAGUACGGCGAUGCAUUCUGCCACCGCUAUGUCGUUGUCGAGAUUAGCGGAUCAAGACUUAGACUAGUAAAUUUCUUUUAUGCGCGUAAGGCUUCAGAUGGUGGCGUGGGAGACAUGGGUUUUAUACUAGUUCGGGCAAUGGAAUACCCUACGUCCAGUGUCUGGAGCUGCUUGUGUUGCCCACGCGGGGUUCUGUAGUAGGGGUUACAGGUGUGCGAGAGAGGGAGCUAAUCCCAGGUCUCUUAGGCGUGUUCCGGUCCUCUAGAUGGGAGAAGUGUGUUCUGUUUGCUUGGGAGUAUCGGUUGUGUCUGAGUUGUCUCCGGAGCCUCCUCCCGUCUCAGGUCCCCGAUUCUCCUUUCAUAGCACAAGGAGACCAUCGGGGUUACAGACGAGACCGAGCGUGGGGAGGAGUAAAGAGAUAAACAUAGCUAGGUAAAAAUACAACAAGAAAGGGGGGAACCAAGUUUCUAGGUCACCGGCGUCCUCGCCGGCCUUCGACUUCCGCCGGCGCAUUUGUCGGAGGAGGGUGGCCGCCAUCGCGUUCUGUCGAUGGCUUCCUCGGUGACUGUAGCCACCGGGCGUGAUGAUGGCAUUUCGUCGUGACCCUUUGUCUGUUGGGGGAGGCGGCGGAUCCUGCCAUUCUGCUGACGGCUCGCGGAGUGCGAACGUCGCAUCCCUGCCGCUGGGCACGCGGGGCGCGAGAACGUGCGAGGCUUCCCCCUACCCCAGGCGGCGCAGGCCAUGAGUGCCCUGUGGCAAAUCGGAGGAGGCCGCAGCUACUGUAGCUUGUACUGUGCAGCCACGUAUGGGUACUUGUGGCAGGUUGCGUGGUGGAUGCGGAUAUCCUUCUCCCUGACAGAUCUGCGGCGCAUUUAUGGCGAGAUCGACAUGGGGACCCACAAGACCCGCGCCCAAGGCGGAUACUUGUCUGGAGGGCCCGGGUUAGCCUGACCCCCUACGCUUGGGGUCGGGCGAGGCGGAGACUUGCGGCGGGGCGUCGGACGCUCCCGACACUAGACCUGCGGUCGCGCAAGGCGGAGCUUGGUCUUCCGGGGGUCGGGGGUGCCGGACCCCAGGAUGCGGGGUCGGGCGAGGUGGAGCGUAAUUCUUGCCUCCCAUGUUGGGCCGAUGGCAGUCUUUGUUACCUCUAGUGGGCUUGGGCCUUUAUGUUUUGUUGUUUCCAUGGGCUUCGAGAGGUCGUUAAUAUUUCCCCCCAACAGUAGCCCCCGAGCCUGUGGUGGAGUGGGGGCGCUCCUCCGGAGGCUACUAUCAUCGCCCCUAGGGAAUCCUCGCAGUUGAUCCGGGAUAGGAGGUGUUGUUUGCACGGCUUGACCGAGGGGGUCGAUUAGGCGACGCAUCCUGUGAGCGACUCGGUGCGGGAGGGUUUCUUGUUGUUCCCUUCUGUCUGAGAGCCUUAAGUCGAGACCACCUGCGUGGCCUUUGGUUGCAAGGCCAGCCCCCGAGCCCCCGCACGUUGCAGGGGACCGGUCGGAGGCUAGGUCGACUUUUGUUCAUUACCCUCAAGCGUCUGUUCGCUAGGACGGAGGGGGCGAGCCGUGCCAUGCUAUCCUCAUCGGACGAACCAUGGUGCUCAUUGAGUUACUAACGGGUUGAUUCGAGUGGGAUCCCGGUCCCCGUUCGGGGGGGGUCCGGCUUGGGCCAAGCUGGUGGCGUACCCCAGGCUCCGGUCGGCCAGUUCAUAUAGUUCCUGAGUCCGUUCGGUCGGACCGGGGGCUCAUUGCCUUUCUUCGGGGAAAAACCAUGAACUUUGAUGCCGGUCCAGACUCGAAUGUGAGAUUGAGACGCCCGGGGCUGUCGCGUGCCCGGGUGAUGGCCGCUAGCGGACCCGUCUCCUCUCACCCCUCACUCGGGGGUAUCCUGAGGCGGCUGUCGAACCCGUGGCGGGCCAGCCUUCGAACCUCUGGAUCGUAAUGGGCCGUAGGGGCGUUUUCAGCCCCGUAUCCCUUUUUACCUUUUGGUGGGCCUUGGGCCGAAUCAUGGAGGAGGUCGGGCCUUGGGCCGGAUGCGGAGGAUGUCGUGCCUUGGGCCGGAUGUGGGGGACGUCGUGCGUGUCUUCCGGGAGACGAAGUGGUGGAGGGUGCCAACCCGCGAAUCGAGGGAGGAGGGGAUGUUUCUACUGCAGGUCAUGCGCACGGUUUCCGAAAAGGCAGCGGGCGUGACGGGACGUACCUCGCGCCGCAUUUAUUGCGAUGGGGGCGUCUGUUCUGCUUCCCUCGUGCCUUCCCUAUAAAACGAGGACUUCGCCUCGCCGGUUCCGCCCGCCAUCUACCUUCAAGCCUUUUCGCCUCCUCGCGCGCCCUUAGCUUUCCUGUGCCCGCUUCGUCUUCCUCCGCCCAGUGCCGCGCCCUUUCUCCCCAUCCGCCGUCGAGUUCUUCUCCCUCCGGCGAUGGGAUCCUGGGCGCGUUCCCACUUCGGCCCCUCACGCGCCGAAGGCCUAGUGAGGAAAGGCCUCCUUUGCGAGAGGACGGAGACGGAUGAGUGGGGGUUCCCUGAGAUGGAAGAGGUGCCGACUCCGCCCACCGGCUACGUCGUUUCCUUUGCCCACUUCCACGAGAGGGGGUUUGCGACUCCGCCGAGCCUCUUCUUCCGCGGGCUUUUGUAUUACUACGGGCUUGAGCUGCAGCACCUCAACCCCAACGGGAUUCAGCACGUCGCGGCGUUCGUUGCGGUGUGCGAGGGGUUCCUGGGCAUUGAGCCCAACUUCUCGCUGUGGAAGUACUUCUUCACGGUCAGCCUAUACCAGAAGGCCGAGAAGAGGGGAAGCCAGCAGCGGUCGACCCCGGUGCCGAUAGGGUGCGUCGGAAUCCACCUCUGCCAUACUCGCGCCAAGGAGUAUAUCGCGAUGAAGACCGCGGCAUCCCACAAGGGGUGGCACCAGCAAUGGUUCUACGUGAAGAACUACUCCAACCCCCCCUGCCGGAGUUCACCGGCCGCAUUAUUGAAGCGGCGCCGGAGGUGUGGGUGUACGGCCCGGUGGAGAAGGAGAAGAAGCGGAUCACCGGCCUGCUGCAGGCCAUCGAGCACCUGAAGGAGAGGGGACUGACCGGAGCCGGAGUCAUCGGGGCGUACCACGCCCGGCGGGUGGCGCCGCUGAUGCUCCGGGUCCGCUCGCUCGCCGACAUGACCCCCGGUGCUCUCACCGAUGGCACUGUCCUCGCGACGGGUGCUCUCGCUGCCUCCGAGAUCCGGCAGCGGAUCCGGGAGGCGCUGGAGGACAAGGACGCCGAUUACCCGGUGCCCGGCCACCCUCCGAUGCGCCCGGACGAGAAUUUCAUUGAUCUGGUAAGGAUUUUGCGCGCCAGUUUCCCUCUCUUGCGUUUCUUGGUAUGCCGUUCUGACGCGAGGCCCUCUGUGUUUGCAGGGUAGCAUGACCCGGGUCGUCGACUUGCGUCCGCCAGUGUCGGAGGACGCCGAGUGGCGGUAGCAGAACCGUCUCCUUGCCGAGAAGCAAAAGUGACGCAAGGACAAGAGACAGCGAAGAAGAAGAAGAGGGCCGCCAAGGAGUUCCAGCGGCGGCGGUGGGGAUAGGUCGUGUCGGAUGACGAUGACGAUGAGAAGGAGGAGGAGGAUGACGAGGAGGAGGAGGAGUUUAUCCUGUCCCCCCGGUCAGGGGCGCUUGUUAUCCGGGAGCCGCGCUCCCAAGCGGCCAUGGGGGACAAGGCGGGCGAGCUGCCUGCCCGGACCCGAUCCUGCGAAGCUUUGGGGGCGCGCCCCAGGGGUCGGCGCAGAGCGCCCCCCGGGGGUCGACGGAGCCGACCCCCAUCCCUACACCUGCAGCCCAGGAGCAGAGGAGCAGCGACAAGCGGCCGUUGCCAGAUGCCCCGGGGUCGGCGUCCAGCUCAGAGGCGAAGCGCGCGCGCCGCCCUUGCGCUGGGGGAACGUGAGUUGAAUUUCCUUGCGAAUCUCGUUCCUUUCCAUGCAUUGUGUUUGUUUCCGCUGAUGCUGUUUGUUGUCUCACAGCACCGCCCCUCAAGGCCUUGUCCCGCCGUUGGCGCCAAAGAAGGCGUUGCGGUGUUGUCGCCUCUGCGGGGCGGACCGCGGCUCCGCCGGCGGCGAGUGGCGGGGUCACUGGUGAGACCGCGGGUCCUACCGCGGAGGUGGCCCCUGCGGCGGCAACCGGUGGAGUGGUGCCACCGCCGGGCAUGGGACAGGGUCUGGACCCCGCUCCGUCCUCCGCCUCUUCGGCCGACCCCGCGGUGCAGAGUAUCGCUCCUGGGGGCCCUCAGGCCGGGGAGGUGAUUGACCUCGACGCCGACGAGGUGGAGGAGACGGCGGCGGUGGAGACGGGGGCGGUUGCCCCAGCGGCCAUGACGGGGACGACGACGGCGACGGGGGAAGGAGAGUCUACCCCCGCGGCCACGGCGGGGACAGUGGCGACAGAGGAGGCGGGGACGCCCGCCCCGGCGGCUGCGACGGAGGAGGCGGCGGUGACGGAGACGGGGGCUUCCGCCCGGGAAGCCACAGCCGAGGUGGCAGCGGCGACGGAGGUGAAAGUGCCUGUUCUGGAGGCCACGGUGGGGGUGGGGACGCCUGCCUCGUGGCCACGACGGAGGGCGAGGCGGCCCCAGGGACACUUGCUCCGGCACCCGCGUUGGAGGCGGUGGCGCCGACGGGUUGGCCCGUGGCGGCCUCGACGGGGGCGGGGGUGCGUGCGCCGGGACCGUCGGUGAGGCCGGCGACUUCCGGGAUGGUGGUGCCCGUCUUGACGGCGGCGGCGGCGCGGUCGGCCCCCGCCCUUGCCUCUACCACUCCCAUUCCCAAGGCGUGGAGCGGAUCCGUCCUGCGUUGGUCGUCUCGUGACGACCCGCAGAGGCCCCUCUUCACGUUGGAUGAUGCCACAGAAUGGGGCAAGUGGCAGGCGCUGCAGGGCGGACUCGCUAACGUCCGCGCCGCUCUAUCUUCGGCGUUGGGGGAGCUGGACGGCGUCAUCUUCCCCGGUGGCCGGGUAUGGUGCUUUCUCCGUUGGUUAUUUUCUUCCCGUUACUUCGUCCCUGAUGGCACAUUGUUCUGCAGGCCCUCCAAGAAUGUAGCCGGGGAAAAUCUGAUUUCCUUUGGCUCGAGCAGGGGCUCUGGGAGCGCUUCAACUUGGAGUUGCAGCGGACCGGGGAGCUGACCAUGCAAGUCGCCACCGUCUAGCAUGUCAUCGACGAUCUGCGAAGGCACGAGCAGGCGGCACAGGAGGACGCGCGGCGGGCGGAGGCCAAGUUCCAGGUCGUUGCCGAAAGGGCUCGCUGCGACCGCGAGGAGUUCCAGGCCGUUGCCGAAAAGGCCCGCCACGACGCUGAGGAGCUCGCACGGCUGAAGGUGCAGCAUGAAGCUCUUCAGAAGAGCGGCAGAGGGCCUGGCAGGACCGGGACGCCGAGAAGGUCCGGAAGGAGGAGGCUGAGAAGGUGGCGGCCAACCUUGGGGCUGAGGUCAGCCAGCUCCAAGUGCAAGCGCGAGAGCUUCAGGCCUCCGUGGCCCAGGGGCUCGACCAGGAGCGCCAGCUGAAGGCCUAAUCCGAGGGUAUGACUCUGUUUAUUUCUUUGUCUUUGUGAUGUUGCGGUGAUAUUUUAUUUGGCGGGUUCUUCUGGAUGAUCCUUGCAGAUGAGCUCAACUGGCUGAGGGAGGUGCUUGACGCGGAGCGCGCUGAGCACGGCGACCUGCGGGACGCGGUCCGCGUCAUCUGUGACUUCCUUAGUGUGGUCCAGGGGGAGGGGACGAGCUCGCUGGCGGCUCGUGUCCUCGGGACGUACCGCCGGACCAGCGAGAUCGCCCUGGAAGCGCUUCGCACCGGCUUGAGGCAAGCCUUUGGGGUCUUCGGCUCCCACUAUUCCGGCAUCAACUUCGCCGGGAUGAGCGGGGGAUACGCCACCGGCUACUACGAGGCCGAGCUGGAUGAGAUCGACGUGUCGGUGCUCAGCCCGGCGGAGGCCUUGGUGAAGCUCCUCGAGGAUGAGGCCGUCCCGCCCGAAGAUCCCCGGACGAGUUAACUAUAUCGGGCUGGCGCCCCAGAUGUAAAUACGUUAGGGAAAGACUUGUUUUUUGUGAGGGCCGUAGAGGCCUUUUCUAUGAAUUGUCGUAAAAAAGUUUUUGAUUCCCUUUCUUGCUUUUUGGACUUGGAAAGUUUAGAGCACGUUGUCGGGCGUGUCAGUAAGCUUUGAUGAGCGAAGGCACCGUAGCCGCUGGGGCGUCGUUUUUUUUGCAGUCCGAUCAAUCUUGCCUGAACACCGUUCGUGCACUUUCUCCUUUUUAUGCCCAAAAGUUCAGAAAGAGGGUCGGCUCGGAAAGAGAAAGCGUUUUGAGAGGGUGUCAAGUGGCUUAGGUACUUGCGGCAGGUUGCGUGGUGGACGCGGAUAUCCUUCUCCCUGACAGAUCUGCGGCGCAUUUAUGGUGAGAUCAACAUGGGGACCCACAAGACCCGCGCCCAAGGCGGAUACUUGUCUGGAGGGCCCGGGUUAGCCCGACCCCCUACGCUUGGGGUCAGGCGAGGCGGAGACUUGCGGCGGGGGGUUGGACGCUCCUGACCCUAGACCUGCGGUCGGGCGAGGCGGAGCUUGGUCUUCCAGGGGUCGGGGGCGCCUUACCCCGGGAUGCGGGGUCGGGCGAGGCGGAGCGUAAUUCUUGCCUCCCAUGUUGGGCCGACGGCAAUCUUUGUUACCUUGGGUGGGCCUGGGCCUUUAUGUUUUGUUGUUUCCAUGGGCUUCGAGAGGUCGUUAAUAUUUCCCCCCAACACUAUGAGGAGGACUUGUGGGCAGAAAGUCAGCUACCACAAACUUGCCUCUGAAUAUUUGGAGUGCAAACAUUGGAUGGUGGUUGUGGAGAGCCCCAGCCAUACCUCGCACCCGUGGAGAGGUAAUUGUCGGAUUGCUUGGUUCGUCUCUAGAAUGCGACAAGGUCAGGCGCCACCUCUCACUGCUGCCAGUCAGAAGGCCGAGGGGCCAGUUUCAACAUAGUAAUGAGAAUCUCCGAAGGCCAAUAUGGUUAAGCAGCUAACCUCCAUGAUCAUAGACUUACGUUUAGAAAAUAGGAGGCUUAGCGAUGCGUUAACAGAGCAGAAGUUAGAAACAGAAGAACUUAAGGACGACUUCCGUGUCCUCCGCCUUGGUCUUUGUGCUAAGAUAAAGCGCUUGUACAAUGCCACGGGGAAUGACGGUCUCUACGAUGCAGCUCAAUAGACGUGCCCCUUGUAUCCUUUCCUUUAGGCACUUUAGAAUAUGUUUAUUUGUUUUCCUUCAUUUUAAUUUCCAAUAGAUUGUUAGCGCCUCCAAUUUAAUUUCAAUAAAGUGUAGACUCACCGGUCAUCCAACUUGAUGGAGUCCUUUUGUCACCUAGUUGUCUUUGGAAGAAGUAGCUGGGUACAAAAUAAGUGUGGGGGAGAGCCACAGACUCUCUAGAGCUGAAACAAUGCACAACACCCACAAAUAGAGAAAACCACGCUGCACCAGCACGUACGUGAAAGUGGAGCCAGAGCUGGACCCAUAGGGGUUUGGCCAACCCAAGGGGUGGCCCACUCGGGCCAUCUUCAUCCACCGCGUCGGUUUGUGUCUCUUUACCCCUGAUCUCCCUGAUUCAUGAGUUUGAAUGAAUUUUAAAUCUGAUCAACUAAUUCAAACUCAACUAAAAUGAAUCAACUGCUCCACCUGCUCUACAUGUUUUCUAUGGUUGGCUUGCAUAUGUUUUAUUUCAUGCUUAUCAUCUUGAUGCUUGUGAACAAAUAUCUUUAGGACAGCAUGCUCAUCUAAGUAGUUGAUGUGUAUGAUAUGGUUCGAUGAUAUGAUCUUCACUCUUAAUGCUUAAGUGCUUGGGAAAAUCUAUUUGAAAAUUUAAAAGCCUUUUUGAAAUCUCCUCUUUGAUGUGCCAAAGUCCUACCAAAGCCAUAUGAUAAGUUAUCUUGAAAAACCAUUUGCAUAUGUUGCUUGUCUUUGCAUUGAGCUUUGUCAAAUUGGUGUGACCCUUGUCACAAUUCUUUUCAUACUUUCAUGAUCAAGACUCAUGUGCACGCCAUAUACCCCUUGCUAUGCUUCUAUGAGAUGUUAGCAUUGUACCAUCCAUUCAUUCCACAAAAUAAAUGCUCCACCAUAUGUGUUGGUCUCCUUCUAAGAUUAUUGUUACAAAAGAGAUAUGGGCUAUCAAAAAAAAAUAUGAAUGUCCAAGAAAGUUGGACACAUGAAUGUCCAAUAAAAAGAAAAAGAAAGAUAGCCAUGUCCUCAGAAAUAUUUACAAAGGGAGAGAGAUCAUACAAAAAGGAGUUUCCAUUCCAUCCACCACAUCCAUACAUGUGCACAUCUUGAUCUGAUUGUAUGACUUAUUUUUCUCUUUGGAUCUGGUCUUUGACUUUGCAAUAUAUGUGAUGCAAGCAUGCCUUAUCCUUCAUAGCCUACCUUGAGCUCCACAUAUAGCCAUCAUUAGAAGUAGGAUGAAGAAAGGCAAGUCUAAUGCCUUGGUGAGGACAUAUACACAUUGAGUGAUCUGAGAGAAUCAAAUGAGGAGCUAAGCAAGGUUUUGUUUUGAAAACUAAUUGAAAAAUCCCAAGCUACUUGGCAUAAGGAGUUGAGGUGACUUGAUUCAAGACCAUUACAUUCCUCAACUACCCAAGAUGGCAUGAUAGACACUCCAAAGUUCACAAGUGCAGGUAUGGUUUGGAAUAUCUUUUAGGCUCGCUUCAUACCUUUGAAAGUUAUGUUUCACCUUAGUCCUUUCUCGUUCACUCAAGGAUAAGCAAAGGCUAAGUGUGGGGGUGUUGUUGAUGGCUCUUAAGUACAAAAUCUGCGCCAUCAACUCUUGCAUAAACACAUAAAAUAUGAGCAUCAACAAUAGUGGUAGGAGUUAUUACAAACGAAUUCCACAAGUCUUGGUGAAUAUUUGUAUGCAAGCCCAAUAGGAGAGAAAAGACACCUCAAAAGCAAGGAAACACACUCUCAACCAAUCAAGAGCAAGCACAUGGAACCAUGGGCCCACAACCAAAAGGAAAUCGACUACAUUCCAAACACCCUAUACCCACAUGAGAACCCAUAGGGCAGUGACCCAGAGCAAAGGUGAUGCCAGAGUGUAGAUGGUAGUUAGCAUGCCAAAUUUUGAACCGCAAGCGCUCGGAUUAGUUGUUUCUUUUCCCUUAGAGAUUCCCCCAAGGUUUAUCAAUCCAUGGAACAAGGGAUUUGCACGUUUCACUAAGCACUAAUCAAUGUAAUUGAAAGCUUUUCGAAUAAGAUAUGAUUAUGCUAACAAAGGAACUAAGCAAUCUAGAUUAAGAUGGAUAGAGAGUACAGGUUGUGAACAAGAUAGAUUAAACGCUUGUAGAUGCAAUCACCAUGCAUGAAUGAAUUAGAUCUAGGUGUUAUUGUGAGUGGUUGUGAACCAUGCCCAACACUUUCCCACCCGCAACAUUGUCACUACAUGUGGGUACUCAACUAUCGGAACAUAAGAACACAUCAAGAUGAUCAUUCUAGGUAAGCAAAUAAGCAACCCAAAGUAGCGCUGGCCAGCCUUUUCAUGAAAGAGCAUCAUCAAGAUAAGAUUGAUAACAAAAUAGAUCUCAACCAAAGGUUCAGCGAUUACAAAUCAAGAUCUUCGUAUAACCCCGAUGACAAAUAGAGGUAUUACCCCCAUGAUCUUACACAUGUUGAUGAAUUUUAGGGUAAAGGACACCCUGUAGAUCAACUGGACCAAAGAUGAUGAUGAACGGGGGCAGGGAAGGCCCAGGUUGAUCAGCCUGCGCACUUUUGAGCCGAUCAGCUCAGGGGGUUUCCUCCUCCCCUGGUGCUCCUCUUCGCGUGGCCUCCUCUGGAUCCAAUCUUCUCUUCAUUUCUCCUACUUGUGGCGGCAAUGGAUGGUGUUUGCAUGGUGAUUUCCUCUUCUCCCCAACUCUCCCUCCUUGAAGUCCAUGAGGGGGUAUUAAUAGUCUCCAAUAGGCGGCAGCUCUGGGUCAAUGUCAGUGAAAAAAUCCUAGAGAUCAUCGUACACUUCAUGCUGAGGAAACAAGAGGUUGACCGAGCCCUGGGAUAGACCAAGAGGAUCAUCCUAGAGGGUCCCAGGCUAAUCGGUCUAGGCCCUUCCUAGCCCUUCUAGUCCUCUCCUUCCUCGUGCUGGCUUUUCUCGAUGACCCUUGUCCAAAUAUCCAUGAAGCUCUAUAUACAUACCCCCUUGAUUAUGUUGUAUUUCCUGUCAAAAUACAAUGCUCCAAAAUACAACACAUAUGCAAUAAUAGGGUUAUUUCAGGUGCCAAUUGGUGGGUUAGUAUACGAAUAAGCAUGAAAAUACUGUUUAAAUGACACUAAAAGUGUGUCAAUAACGAGCACCAACAAUCCCCCCACGCUUAGAUCUUGCUCGUCCUCGAGCAAGUCUAGCGACUAAAAGAUCUUGAAUUAAACCUGAGCAAGCGAGUCAAGUACCUAGCCUUGAAACAAAAGAUUAGAGGAGCAGCAAAGAUAAUCAAAGUCUGGGUGUUCAAAGAUUUAUCUAAGCAAAGAUUCCCCUACAACUAUUAUUCAGAACCAAGUAACUUCAAAAAUCAACUACACUUAUUUUCUGGCUUUUUUCAGAGGGUUUUUCUUUCAUCAUAAAACAAUCUCCCUGCAACAAAAUUGAAAAAAGAAUUAUUUUCAAGGUGCUUACAUGUCGCUUAAAUGAAUGUUGGCUAUCCUACUUAUUUGCAAGCUCUCAUCUCUCAAAAUUCAUUCAAUUAUAUGGUGGAGUUUGGGUAAGGUUAGCUAGAAUCAACACGUAUAUUAUUGAAUUAAGAAAACCCUCUAACGGUGGCCUACCUUCCGAGCCAUUGAUCAUAAGAAUAUCCACAUAAUGUGAAGUUUUCAAGGAUGAGAAGAUAUAGAAUGGUGGACAUGUGCAAAGGCAAAGAAAUAUAGUGACUCUGAGGCACAAGCAAUGUCCUCGUCGUUGGAUUGCAUAUGGUUGUAAUGAAAAUAUGUUCCUUAAACAAGUCUAUCUUUUCUUUGCACCACUCUUGAUCUUCAUGACAGUAAAAACUCCUCCUUUAUUUCUUUCUCUCUUUUCCUAUUAUUUCUUUUUAUUUGUCUCAAUACUUUUAUUUCUUUAUUUCUUUAUUUUAAUCUCUUCUCUGAACCUCUUCUGAACACCACAUAAUAAAAAUAAGUUUUAGAUCCUUCCAGAGACCUUCCAGGAAUUUGCUACAUGAAAACCGAGGCAAGGAGACCCCAGGCCGAUUGGCCUAGCCACUCCUUUGCUCUCCUCUAGCUCUUCUUUCUGGUGAAGCUUCCUUAUCUUGUAUCUUUCCAAAAAUUUCAUAAAGCUCGACUAGAAACGGAACAGAUCUUCAUAUAAUGAGUUGUGUUCAAGGAAUUGGUAAUAAAAUUGAGAAAUUUGUGGUUCGGGUUUACGAAUUCAGUACAAAAAUAUGAUUGUUCCAAUGAAGAACUCUCAUUACUGAAUAUUGACGAGGCAAGCAUUCAAAGAUGGUAAAAAGGAUAUGAUCAAUUCUCAAAAUUAAAGCAAACCAAGAGAGAGCGAUCCUAAUUCAAUUCAAAGUGUCAAAUGUUGCUUAUGGUGGUAUGAAUAAAUAUUUUUAGGCAUUGGGUAGGAUAAAUAAAAACUCUCAACCUGGUUAAAAGAUAUUGAUCAAUCUUGUUUUUGCAGAGGUUUUAAAUAAAAAAUAAAAUUUUAAAUCACCUCCAAUUCAAAGCCUUACUCAUAAAUCAUAAUCAAAACUGAAGCACUUGAUCAUCAUAAAGCAUGGGUAUUGCAUAAACAAAUCGAUUACUAAAACUCCACAACUACGAUUUAGAAUUCAAGACAAUGCUCAUAAUCUAAAGUUGCAAAGAUAAAAUAAAAGACAACCAAGCCAAGGUAGACACUAAAAACACUUGCACGAUCCUUGAAUUUUAUUCAUGCUUCUUCUCACAAAGACGCUAAAGUAGCCAUGUAGGCCUAAGUCUUCCCAAAAGCUUAAGAAAACUACUACUUUAUCUACUUUUGGUUGAAAUAAAAAGACUAAUCUAGACUCUCACAUGAUUCGACUCGACCAAAUUAGAUCCAAAAACUCAUACGAGCGACGAUCUCCCCCCCCUCACGCUUAAAAUCUACGACCUCCUCGUCGUAGCCAUAUGGAGUACAAGGAAAAGAAGCUUGUAAACGCUCUAAUGACGCUACCCGCACUACUUGCACACGGGAUGGUUGCUGCUUCCUUCGCUUUGUUCUUCCUCAUGUUGCUGCACAUCCCGAAGAGCUUCCUCACGUUCCUCUGCAAGAACUUGAACUCGUCCUCCUGACGGCGAUCAUUAUCUUCUGCCUUUUGAUCCAGAGCUUGUAAGGCUUGCAUGAUGUCAUCGAACGCAUCGAAGAGGUAGUGGAUGUUCUUCCUGCAAGCUGUGGAACAUGUACGAUCAUGCUCCUCCGAUUCUGGCCCGUCGUCUUCUAGAUCCUUCUCUUUGCCCUUGUCUUGACGGUGGCUAUCUUGCUCCUUGCUCGCCUUCUUGCCUUCAGCCCAAUCCCAGUACGUGUUGUCAUCUUCUUCAUCGUCACGGCCUGCAGCACCCUAUGAUCCAUUGUCUAUCUUGUAUGAAAGAAUCAGAAGCUUGUUCUCCUCAGGGUGUCUUGCGCGGUGCAGCGUUUGCAAGUGCAAGACUUGCUAGUUCCUUUUACACAUUGUAAUGUUCAUUGCAUGCUCUAAUUGUUCUACAUUUGUAAUUUCUUGGUGAAGUUUGGUUACUGAUCCACUGUUUGAUUAACUCUUGGGCCCAAACACUGUACUACUUCUGAUUAGAUAUCUGUAUCUUGACUUUGACCAAAAAAAAUAUCCGGCAGUUUUUGCCAUUAAAGUUUCAUAAAUCAUCUUGCAAAAAUCGUACUAUACAACAAGGGACGGUUUAUUAUAAAAUAUACGUUCCCCUUAUCACAUGCCACUUCCACUCAAAAGGCAACGAAUCAGUUUUCAAUCCUGAGUGAGCAAUUUGCUUUUAUUACCGAUGCCUCCUAUUCCCUUGUGCACCAAGUUUAUUUUGGAUAGGGCUGCAAAAAACGACUAACCAGCUCGGAUUCUCCACCUGCAAAACCGCAUCUGCAGCAACCAACCCCACGCGGUGGAAAAAAAAACAAAACCUAGAAACCGGACGGGGGUGGAUGUGGGGCUCGGAGCCCAAGCAAAAAACGGAUCGGGAGCGCCGGAGCAGGCCAUCACCGGAUGUUAGAGAUAGAAAAUGGUUGAAGUUUGGAGUGGAAAUCAAACAAGCCUUGGAGCAAAGGAAAAAAAAAGAUCAAACCACUCAAGCAUUCAUUUGAUUUAGAAAAGAGAACAUUUGUUAAGGUGGGGAGUUGAAAUCAUCUUUUAAUUAGUUCCACGUAUCUGGUAUCAUUACAGUUGGUUUACUUGUGUAAGUAUAAGUAGCUCUGCCGAAGCCUUUGCUCCUAUAAUUUAGUAACUAGUACAAAUGGAUCAAUAGGAAAAUCAAGUUGCAAUCAUUUCUCAGCCAACCAAACCUAUGUAAAUCAAAUUAUUGUCCAUGCCCGGCAUGCACAGGUGCCUGCCAUGCAUGCAUUGUUGCUCCAUUGUAAUAACCAUUAUUGUCCAUCGAUGUUGCAGCGCAUGUGUGCACUGUGCAGACACCAAGCAUCGAGAUUAUGUACUAGUAAGGUGUUGAAAUAAUGGGCCUAGCCCAUAAGUAAUUUCAGAAUUUCAAAUAAAUCUCAAAGGCCCAUGUGGGCAAGAGGUGGAGUGGUGCAAGUCUUUAGUCCCACAUUGCUAGUCGAGGGGAGGGAUGACCAACUUAAAUAUGGAAGUUGUCUCCACUCCUCCAAGCUAUGUGUGAAGGGCGCGGGCGCGAGGCACUUGCGUGAAUGGUCCGCCGAAAUCUGGCCCCCCUUGCGGGGGCGCGGCUUCCUUUUGCCGUUUUAUUUUUUGGUUACUUGGUCGUUAAGUCAUGGAAUCCUAACCGGUUUAGAUCACGAUCGUGAAGGUUUUUGGGAAGCGCUCUGCGCGACUGCUCGAUCGCUUCUUCCGCUUCGUCAAGUUCUUCGUCGACUCCUUCACCACGGCUCGUCUACCUCUUCGUCGCUCGGGCCUCACUCGUCGUCGCGAACAACGUCAGGCUGCUGAUCGUCGUCGCCUGCUGUAUCCGGUAGUCGUCCAGGAGCCGGUUUUCAUCAAGAAAGAAACGUACGGUCUCUUAACUCACAUUAUGUCUUCCAUACUAGCUAUUAUGAUUGUUGCAGUCUGAUAGCUCUGGAUAGUAUGGUAGAAUGUCUGAUUCUAUUUGCAAUGAUAGACUUGUCUAGAUCUUGCGUAGACAUGUCUAGUUUAAUCUGCUGCUUGUUCAUCAUAUUCAUGAUUUAUUUCUGGAUUAAGUUAAAACUAAAAGUGCUUAUAUAUCCAACAUAAGGUACCAAGAACACGUGAAGCACCCGGGGGAGGCUGCUCCACUCCGCAUGCACAGGUGGGCACGGCACCACUACUCGUCUCCUUCAGGCUGAGGAUAAGUGAUGUACGCUGAUCAACAGACCACGACGGAACCAGCAAUAAUAGUUUCAGCCUGCCUCACAGUAAUUAAUAUAUCCUGUAUCCUCCGAGGACCCCUCCCCUUAAUCUUGGCCUAUUGCAUCCAAUAAUGAUAUGUGUGUUUAUCCAAAUUUACGGCACCUUUGGCGGGGGUUCCACCCAGCUCCGCCCUCUCCACCUUCGGUACUCCAUGGGAAACCAUUCCUUUGGAAUCAAGGAAGCUUGAACAGUAUAACGAAUAAAGUUUCAUAUAUCCAUUUGAUUUCACAUGAAAUAAAAUAUUCUGUCAGAACCAAUGGUUUCACUGAAGCUCCAGGCAGCGAGCGAAGGGGUGAGAGAGGAUAACGCUUACUGUGUGUUACCAUCGCGUGCACCAUGGAUGACCAACGCGCAGCCGAGAUGAAACGGCGGACCUAAACAGGUCCUCGCUAUUUUUGCAGGUUCUCGACCAGGCCAGUUCUUUAGGCCAACCUAUCAUUCACGAGUUAAACAUACGGUGGCUGGAGAAAUGUUCUAUUCUUUUAAACAAUACCAGCUGGUUCCUCCGUUUUUAUUCCACCAAUACAAGCACCACCUUGUAACAUUUCCUAUGUUUUUUUUCCUUUCGUCUGUUUUCUCACUACAUGCGUUGCUCUUUCAUGCAUUUUUUUCCAUUCCUGUAUUCCAAAUAGGUCUACAUGAACACAAAAUGAACUAGGGGACAGAAAAAGCCAGUGAAGUUAGUUUUGAGCUUCACCAGCUACUUGCUACAUAAAGUGUGCUAUAGUCGCAGAAAAGCUAAGCUGGAUCAGACGUGGCCGAAACAAUGCCAAAGAGCUAGGUCCCUAGCUGAUGGCAACACAUCAGAUGACUAGCCUGCUUUUCUGUAAUAAUGAUAUUGAGCAAUACACUGCAUGGCUAACCUGCUUUACAAUAAUUGUCAUUUUAUAAUAUUGGUCAUCACGAGAGAUGCACAUUGCAUACACCGGCCCAUCCCUAUAAAUAGCCAAGCCUUUCAGCCAUCUUGGGCACCUCCUCUCAGGGCCUCGUCUCACCAUCAGACAUCUCGUUCCCAGUUAUAAUUUGCGAGGUUAGAUCAGGCUGCGCCAUGGCGUCCGCAACUGCUGUCAAGAUCGUCGCCACCUUCAUGCUGGUGCUGACCAUGGGCCACCUGAUGGCCGAAGCAUCACCGCAGCCUCGGCGUGUGCUUGCAGAAACGGAGCAUGCUGCGGUGUCCGGGAAUCCUGGCCUCCCAGGUGAUGCUAGCGUCAUGCAGGUCCUCGAACCCGCCCUAGUUUCUCGGCUUGCCUGCAAACCAGAGUGCACAGUCCCUUGGCCUCCUUUUGUAUGUAUCUGCUAGAUCCUCUUCCUGGCUCAACGGAACUUCAGGGAAAUGGCUGUGACGUCGGCCAAAGAAUAAAUUGGAUGAACAUAAUAUACCCCGGGUAGUGUAGCUUGGGCUUUUGUUGAGCGUCUGGUGCUAGUUGUAUUUUGUUUGCUCAUGUGGCUUUGCUUCUGGUUGCAUAUUGGCUUUCCUAUCGCUCUCUGUUGCAGCUAUGGUUUCUGCCAGGUGUGUGUUAAUGCGGUUUGUAAGCGGUGCUUGUUCCUACCUUCUGUUUUCAAUAAAAGAAGUCGGAGUCUCCCUCCGACUCUUGUUAUCAGUCAACAAAAAUGAGUUGUAUCAUAUAUAUCUGCGUCUUUUUUCUACGUAUCUUUGGGCUGCUUCAGCUGGAAGUUUAUCGUAAGUACGUGUAUCAGGAUGAUCGUUUGAAUUAAAACGAAAUGAUAAUGUGUGGCUGCUAGAAAUGGAAUGAGCAUCUUACUAUAUUACUAAUUGGAAGCCUCCACGUGAAGCCACCUAGAAAUUCUAGGUGGACGUUUUAAAAAAAACAAAACUCAUAGAAGCCUCCACCACCUAGGAAUCCUAGGUGGACACUCUAAAAAGAGACAAAUCCUAGAAAUUCUAAAAAAAGAAAAAAAUAAUAACAAUAAGAUUUUUUUGCAGUCAAUUACAUAUAUUUUUUUGAGACACCGUGCUGCUAGCUCUUGCCAUUGCGACCAGUAAAGCAAGCAGAUAGUAAGAUGACAUGCGUGUGGAUUGAUUAAAACAAAUUCAGUUAGUUGAUUCUAAAUCGUAUGUAUCCUAAAAGGAAGAUAUGUGCGUGCAUGGUCCCUAGCGAUGACAUGUAGACAUGUAUUGCAAUUUCUUUUUUAAAAAACAUGUCUAUCUCUAAACCAACAAACAGAAAAAAUAUCAAUCUAAAUCUAAAUCUCUUCCGUUCUCACACGCCUAUUAAAGAGAAGACAACCAAUCCCAUCCAUGUUCCAUAGAAUCCAUCUAAAAGCUUGCUCACUGCGGACGGCAUUUGACGGCAAAUCAAUGAAAGAUCAUCCUCUCCAAAUAGCUGGACGGCAUCACCAUCUUUAUCUCACCAACCUACAGAGCUACAACGAUGUUGUAGAGAUCAACUAGGUAACCUACCAAUCACCCUCCCCUUUUCUAUAUGCUCUAAAGAACACGUGGAGUAAUUAUAGGCCUAUAGGAGCCGACUAACCUAGAUUAAUAUGAAAAAUAUUCCAAUAUUAAAAGCAAGCAGAUAGUAAUACUUGCCUUUGACCAUUUUUCUAGAACUGUUAUUCCUAUUGAAUGUUCAAGUGCUACGGCCAGGCAUCGAAUGCCUGCACGGAACCUUCCUAUUGAAUGGUUACUCUAGAGAUCAACGCACCGCGAGACAUUUUUAUGGAAUUUGUUUGAUUCCCCUUCUACAAUUAGAUUAAUUUUUCAUGGCAUAUAUUACUACUAUUAAAUUAUUUGUUUAUUGUCGGGCCUGCUGCAUGUGUGGUAUAUAUGACUUGCUUCUCACCAUUGUUCUCAAACUAUUAUUCCUAUCGAAUCUUUCUAUCGAAAUAUAUUUUAAUUACUUGAUUGUUGUUUGUGUACCAUAACUUCUGUAUAGAAAAAUUCCAUGUUUGUAGAUAAUGUCUUUUGUAUAGAAAAAUAGCCCAAUUAGAUCCAUCACCAUCUUUUGCUUAUGUAGUUGAACAAGUUGCAAUGUUGAACAAAACUUUAAGUGAAAUUAGACCAGGAAAAGGAAUUGUGGAACAUUAAGGCAAGGGUAACCAGAUUGUGGAAUGCAACCUUACUCAGUAGUGGCGAACAAUUAAGUCUUGACAUGAUCCUUAUUGAUCAAAAGGUAUGAUAGAUGUUCACUUUGAUUGCAUUAUUGGUAUAAUUUUUGGUUUACAAAUUAUUAAUGAUGAUGCAAAAUUAGGGAACCAUGAUCCACGGUGUUAUCAAUAAGCCCUAUAUGAAAAAGUUCAAACCAUUGAUUGAAGAAGGCAAUGUGUACAUAAUUGCAAAUGUCAGAAUCACACCAGAACCACAGAAGUAUCGGCCAGUGGAAAAUGACAGGAUAGUCAACUUCUUACCCACAACUGCACUAAAAACGAUCAAAGAUACUGAAGACAUUCCAAAGUAUAGUUUUAACUUCAUGAGCACGGAUAUGCUUUCAGCAAGAAUAAAUGUGGACAUGUACCUAUUAGGUAAAACAUUACUGGCUUUUCAAUUUUUACACUUCCACUCAUUAAAUGACCAUCUAAUAAUAAUACAUAUUUAUGUUUCAUAGAUGUUAUAGGUAUCUCAGCUCACAUUGGACCGAUAGAAGAAACAAGGACAAACUUCGGAUUUACUAAAAUCCGUGAUAUUGUGCUCCUGAUCGAGUAAUUCUCUUUUCUUUUGUAGAAAACAACUACAAAACUUUCAACAUUUACAUGUAUGUUAUAGAACUUCUGUUGAACUAAAAAAUAUCUUCUACAGUGCCCCUACAAAUAAUUAAUUUCGUAGUUGGAUAUUUAAAAUAUUUAUUAUUCACUUUUAAAUUUGUGGCCAUGAAGUUAAAGUUAGAUUUUGGGGAGACAAAGUUGAGGAAGUUGAUGAUAAGACAAAAUCCCAUGUCAUUGCAAUAACAUCUACAACUGUGAGUAAAUUUGGCAGUAAGUCUUCAUUCAAUAUGAGUUAUUCAAUAUUAGUCAUUCAACAAACUAACCUCGUAAGAAAAAUAAAUAAUUGAUGUUUUAUCAGGGUAUUCUCUAUCGUCAACCAAUGCAACAAAACUUUAUGUAGAUCUACCUAUUCCUGAAACUAAGGAUGCACAUGAUAGGUGAGAAAAAUUAGAUAUUGUUUUUCUAUUUUAAUCUAUGUAGCAUGCACUCUAACAUGAUACAUUCUUUCAUAUGAUAAAAAAAUGUUAGUUCAAUUGAAAAUAUUGUCAAAGAGAUUCAUAUUGAGGACCAUCUAAAAGGGACAUUGGAAGACCAAAUGCAGUACAAUAGAAGAACUUUAGAAGAAUUAAAUUUCAUAUUAUUUGAAACAUCAAAUCAGGUAUGGAUUAGUAUGUUCAUUGUACACUAUACUAUUUAAAGACUUACAUACAUAAUGAUGGUAUUGUUCCUACUUUCAGGAUGAGGUAUUUACUAUUGAAGCAACAAUAAAUGAAAUUAAUGCAACAUAUGGUUGGUUGUCACACCCGAUUUUAAGGACAAAAUUGAGUGCAUUAAAUACAUGUGCACCAGGAUCAAGUUACACACAUCCUAUGAGUACCGUCCUUCUUUGGCACAAAGAUAACCGGUGCUCCCCAUGGUGAUGAACUAGGCCGAAUAAACUAUUUUGCUGAUAAUUCCUCUAGUUGUUGUUUCAAUUCUUUUAAUUGUUCAACCAACAUUCUAUAAGGACGUUUGGAGAUAGGUGCAGUACCAGGUAAAAGAUCAAUAGCAAAUUCAAUGUCGCGGUCAGGUGGCAUACCUGGUAAAUCGUCGGGGAACACAUCCGGAUAGUCACACACCACUUUGAUAUCUUCCAAGGAUUUUCCAGCCAACUGAUUAACUGCACAAUCUGCUGCUGAGGGUAGAGUAGCUACAAACUCCACUUUCUCUCCAUCAGGACCUGUUAGCAGAACUGUCCUCUUGGCACACUGAAUCGUUGCAUCAAAAGCGGCUAACCACCUCAUCCCCAGAAUUACAUCGAUUCCACUGGACUCAAGGACGAUAAGAUCAGCCGGAAACUCUAUACCCAUUAUUCUCAGUUUAACUUGUGGACAGAUGUAUUGAGCCUUCAUUGACCCCCCAGGUGAACUCACUAGCAUAUGACGCCUCAUGGUAUGCAUGGGUAAAUUAUGCUUUGCUACAUAAUGACUAGUGACAAAAGAAUGCGAUGCUCCAGAGUCAAAUAAAACUGAUGCGGGGGCAGAGUUGACAAAGAACAUACCAAGCACUACAUCUGGAGCCUCCUUAGCAGUCUCGGCUUCCAUGUGGUUCACCUUGCCACAAACAAAGCUUUGCUGCCCCUGAUUGCCUUGUGGGGUCUGGUUCCCAUUCCUCGGUUGCUGCAUCUGAUUCUGCCGAGGAGCACUGCUGUUCUGCACGGGGGUAGCUGGCCCACCUCUCUUAGGACAAGAGCUGGCAUAGUGACCAACCUCGCCACACUUGAAGCAGGUAGGACCCACUGGAGCAUUGGGCCUUGUUGGAGUGCCAGUAGGGGUCAUCUGGCGGUUCUGCGUAAAGCUUGGGCGCGGAGUCUGCAUAGUCUGCAUCCCUGGAUGCUGGAACUGAGGGCUAGGGCGCUGGAAUGACUGCUGAGCAGGGCGCGGAAAUGAGUGCUGCCAAAAAUUCCCACUCGGGCCCCCUGCGCGGAACGGCGUCCCUUGCUGUGGAGCAAAGCGAGGGCGGGUGUUGCUUCCUGAAGACUACUGGGAAUUGAAUUUCCUCUUCAUCUCCCCGAGCUCGUUCCUCUUGUGUUCCAGGCCAAUUGCCUUGUCUAGCAUCUUCUGGAAACUGGGGAAGGUGUGCGACAUAAGCUGAUAUUGGAGUGGUCCAAUCAACCCAUCCAAGAAUAGCUCCUGCUUCUGCUCAUCAUCAGCAACAUCUUCGGGAGCAUAUCGGGACAACUGGACAAACUUGUCCCUGUACUCUGCCACUGUCAUGUUCCCCUGCUUGAGAGCAAGGAACUCCUUCUUCUUAAGCUUCAUCAAUCCGGAAGGAAUAUGAUGACUUCUGAAGCUAGUCCUGAAUUCAUCCCAGGUGAUGCCAUUAGCAUUGGCAUGGGUGGUGGUGUAAGCAUCCCACCAAUCAGCAGCUGGCCCUUCCAGGCGUCCUGAAGCAUACAGGACCUUCUCCCUGUCAGUACAUUGGGCGAUAUCCAGCAUCUUCUCCACUGUUUUCAGCCAAUCAUCAGCAUCUAAUGGAUCCGGAGAAUGUGAAAACGUCGGGGGCUUGUGGCUCAUGAACUCCCUAUGCCUGUCCCUUGGCGGCGGCUGCUGCUGGUUGUUGUUGUUGUUAUUGUUCAGCUGAGCUUGUAAAGCUGCCACGGUGUUGGUCAGUCCGGCGAGAAGCUGAGUCUGAGCUGCUAGAAACUGCUCCAUCCCUGCAGGUGCUUGUUGGUUCUGUUGCGGAGCGGUGUUGGGAUUGCUGCUGUUGUCCCUGUGGCGUGGCACUGUGGGACGGUCAACUCCUGAUCCGGACCUGGUGUUUACCAUCUGAGCGUUAGAGACAAUGGAUUUAGAUAGAUGUGUGAAAGAAUAACUGAGAAAGAUAAAGCGACCAGAUGUAAAAGUAACACAGAUUCUGUUAGCUCCAUUUAAUUAGGUGUGGUCGUCAGAAGAAGUGUCCAUAAAUUCUGAACAAUUACCAAGUCGUAACUUAUUAAAUUUGUAAACCAACCCAACUGGAAUCAUCUCAAUCGGACUUCUGGAUCUCGAGUUACAAAAUUAACAAGCUGACAGUGUCGGUCGAUAGGUUCAGAUUCUGAGUGCUUUACUAAUUCGCAUACACCUCCCAGACAGAUACACCAAAAAUUCUGAAAAAUUUACAGAUAGUACUCCACGAAAUUCUGAAACUAACCCCACUGGUUUCAUGUCAUUUGGACUUCUGUAGCUAGAGAUAUAAAUAAAAAAGUACUGGCGUGUCAGUUAAUGUCGAGAACAGAAUUGAAUGUCGCUUAGCUUGCGUGAUGGAUAGAUUUAGACAGAUGGUAGAUCAUGAUUAAGGAAGAUUAAAUACUGAUUUAGAACAGAAAUAAAACCCAACUAAGCACUUUAUUUAUUAAGACCAGUAUCGUGUGGCAAUUGCCCCACAUACCGCACUCAUUACAAAAUCCAACUCAAACAUGUAGCACAAAACCAAUCAUCUAAGCACACUUUAACUAACACACUCGAACGACGUCUAACGAUUACAAGAAUUUAAACUAAAACACUCCUAAUUUCCUAGAGGUCUUCUGCGGCGGUGCCGGGCGAGUCGUAGCGGGGACGCUUAGGCGACGGCGACGAAGCGGGAUGAACAGCAAACUCCUGCGGCGGCGGUGCUCCCGUCGCGGCAGCCAUAUUCGCAUCCCUCUCCCACCGGAGUUCCUGAACCUCCUGUUGAAGCUCCUGGAUGUGGUUGUUUGCUUCAUUCAAUGCGGUGAGAGCUGCCGACGUGUACUUGCGGAGGAAGUCUGUAGCCAUGUCAACCCCAUCGUUAGUAGCGAUGAAGGUUCUUGCUUCCCCACUAGCUCGGUAAGGAAGGAACCGAUGGUAAGUGUGCUGCAAUCGCGGCCGUUCCUUGUGGGAGACGACCUCAAGUGCCCUCCUGGCGGCCUCGGCAAUGCCGGAUUCCAUGGUCCUCCUUAUGGUCACAUCAUGGUGAAAAGCCUUCACCUCCCAUCCUCCCUCGUGCUCCUCACGAAGGACAACCUUCACCUCCCAAAAAGUGGGAUAGCGAGGGUGGGUGAACCGGGAGCACUUGUAGAGUGGCCUCAUGCCGUACCCCAAGCGGUGACAAGUCCACCUGAGUAUGUCGGCCAUGUGCACUCCUUGGCCAUAAUCUUCCUUCACCCAUUUGAUCCAUGUCUCGGGCUCGGGAUCUGCUUCGGGCUCAUCAUCCGUCAAGUCGACGACCGGUACGGGCGUCGGGGCUGGUGCAGGAGCGGGCGCCGGUGCUGGCGACGGUGCUGGUGACGGCGUGGUCUCCUGCUCCACGGUCACGGCGUCCCCGUCAGAGUCAUCCCCCGGAUGCUGGAAGAUCUCUUCCUCUUCUUCCUCGUCCCAAGGCUCCAUGGGGGCGUACGACGGCGCGAUGCCAUGACGCGGCGGACGGGUGCUCUUGCGUGCGGUCAACCGGGUGCGAGCCAUCUAACAGAAAGAAAGAAGAAAAUUUUAGAAUAAAAUUUUGAACAAAGCUAGAUAAUAAAAUAGCAAUAAGGAUGAGACAAAUCAAGUUUAAGAAUAAUUAAGUAGAUUUAAAUUAAGAAAGGUAGGAAUGGCUACUAGAUUAUUAUAAUCCUUAAAUACGACCAUUUUCUAACUAGGCUAACGUCCUACAGUCAACACGGCUCUGGUACCACUUUUGUCACACCCGAUUUUAAGGACAAAAUCGAGUGCAUUAAAUACAUGUGCGCCAGGAUCAAGUUACACACAUGUACGACAAUAGUGAAUAGUAAAGCCAGUGCUAAAUCGAAUAAAGAGAGUAUUAACCAUUAUUACAUGACCGAAUGUCUCAAAUAAACCACAAAGUCUAAUUAUUACGCAGCGGAACUCCAAAGAUGACGACGACUCCAUAGGCAGCUGACUGAAGAAACGUACGCCUAGAACUCCUCGAAGUCGUGGAAGUACUCCUCUUCCCAAUUAACUUGGUCUGAACAGCGGUUUUGCAAGGGUGAGUACACUUAUGGUUGGUACUCAACAAGUCGUGGGAAGUAGUGUAGUGUAAGGCUAAUUCAAGGUAUGGCUAAGGCGUAAAUAGCAUUCGCUUUUAAUUAAGUUGGUCAAAUUUUAUUAGCAUUUACUAAGUAUAAGUUCAUACCACCCGAAAUUAAACAUGAACAUAAAGUAAACCACAUGUGCAUGAAAUGAUAACAAAUUAAAUCCAUCUUCCGAUAAUAUUAUCAUGUGAGGGUCCAGGCCGCUCUUAACCGUGAGCACGGCUGAUUGAUCAGUUUAACACUCUGCAGAGGUGGCACAUCUUUACCCACAAGUCGCGUAAAAGUUCAAAAGAACUUUGGACCCAACCAUGCGGUGUUUGCAAGGCACCAUACCACACUUCCGAGGUGUGAUUGCAUAGGGACGCUACGAGGCCUUUACAAAGAUUCAUUAAUCAGUGGUAACCCGCUAAGGUUUCGGUGUCUGGCGUGCACCACCCAUCCCAGGUAAAAUGCAACGACUCAGUCCCCCCCCUUGAAUCAUCACGAGUAAGGUCACCCCAGACUAAGGUUUCUAAUUAAUCAGCCAAGACCAGAGCUAUUUAGUCUUGUGGUAGCACUGUUUUCCUGGGUGGUCGCUCCAUGUUCUGAUUAACAAAUAAUGAUCUUGUCUUAAUGAAAGGUAUAACAGAAAUAAGGCAAGAUUAAGCAUUGUUUUUAGUUAAACCACCAUGUACCAAGUAAGCACUAAGCAUGAGCUACCCAACAUAAAGUAAACCGGUUGGUCAAGGCAAAGGUAAAACAAUCUAGGCCAACCUUAAUUGGGACCCAUCAAUUUAAUCUUAAUAUGUGCACAGCAUAAAUGUUGAGUACGAGAAAGUAAAGGUGUAUAGGACAAAAAGGUAGUGAUCAAGGACACGACUUGCCUUCUUGGCCUUGCUCCUGCUGUUCGUACUCCUCGAAGGCUUGAUCGGCAACUCCCUCGAACUGCGGGGCGUCUACACGCAUCACACGAGCACAUACAAGCAAACAUGGGCAAAAGUAAGAAAACAGUAUACCAAACAUAGUCAAACAGAGAAAACAAGCUUGAAAAGAUGAUCUACGCUUUAAAACGAACACGCGGAUAUAAAGAACGCGAAAAACGGAGUUAAGAUGCAAAAGAUAUGAUUAAAACAAAAUCCAGGGACUUUUCUGUAAGAAAAACAAAACUUUUAGGGCCUAUCCGCGAAAACCGAGGGCUUAUACGUAAUUAUGCGUAUAAACCGAGGGUCUGAUGCGUAAAAACAUCAAACCCGGACGGCGGGUUGAUUUCUGGAAAGGUCAAGGGUUAAACCGAAAAAUGCGAGGGCAGAUCUGUAAAUACUUUCAACGCGAUCUGGACCGCGGGUUGAUUUGCGAAAAAGGCGGGGGCUAAAGUGCAAAAACUGCACGGCGCGGCUCGGUUGACCGGUACGCGAUCUUGAUUGACUCGCGUCCGGCCGUCGGAUUAAGAUCCGACGGUCGCGGUGAUCCGCGACAUCGCGGCGGCGGCGGCGAGCGGCGGCGAGCGGCGGCAAGCGGCGGCGGGUCGCCGGAGUUAGGCAAAAUAGCGCCACGAGGCACGGUUUAACGCGCGGGUUGCACCAAAAAAGAGAGGGGAACACGUCGAUCCCGUUUUGGGGGUUCUUGUCGACGGGGGCUCACCGGCGACGGCGAACGGCGGCGAGGAAGAGGCGGCGGCGCUAGGAGCUCGGGCGGCUAGGGUUUCGGGGAGCUGCGGCGCUGGUUUUGGGCGGAGGAGACUGGGAGGAGGCGGCGGCUUUUAUAGGGCUUGGAGAUAGAGCCGGCGCGGGUUCAAAUCCCCCGGAGGAGUCGGAGCGGAUGGAGUCCGGGGCGGAGACGGCGCGCGGCGGUUGCGGAGUUCUGACCGGAUUCGGCCGGAGGUGGGAGACGAUGGGUGGGGUCCACCCGUCAGUGGCGGAGGGGAGCGGUAGACGGGCCGGCGCGACCGUGGGCUGGCGCGCGCUCGUGGGCUGCGGGGAGCGGGAGAGAAGCGGCGAGCGGGCGCUGGCGGAGCAGGCCGAGCGGAGGUAGAGCUGGGCCGCGGAGAAAAAGGAGGAGGCCGGCGGGCUGCUUCGCAGGCCGGUAAGGAUGAGGCGGCCGGGCCGAAGAAGAAAAAGAAAAGGAGGGACAAGGAGCUUUCGGCCGAGGGAAAAGAAGAAGAAAAAGAAAAGGAAGAAGAAAAGGGAAAAGGUUUUGGAAUUUGAAUUUAAAUCUGAAAUUCAAAAUUUGAUUCAAACUCAAGCAACCAAAAAUUAUGCUCCAGCAUGAAUGCACAAAUAAUUCCUAUGAUGAAUUAAUUGAAUUAAAGAAAAUGAAUUUAAAUGCCUAGAAAUUAAAUAACACCCUAAUUUGAGCAAAUUUUAAUGAAUUUGAAUUAUUGAAAUUUUGGGUGUUACAUUGGUACUACAUCUCAUGUAGUAGAGGCGAUUGUAAGAAGCAACUUGAAAAGAAGUUUGAUCACUACUAUUGCAAUAAAUGUGACAAGAGAGCCGAACCUAAAGCCCAGUAAAUUAUUUAGUAGUUUACAAUCUUAUUAUAAUACUUCUAUUUCUAAUAGGAGAAUAAUAUUUUCAGAUUCAAAUUAAGCUUCAAAUAAGUGAUCCAACAACAAGUGCAACUUGUGUACUUUUGACAAGGAAGCAGAAAUGAUAAUUAAUGAAUGAGCAGAUUCGAUGAUCACCUCAGUUGAUCAUGAUAAUAAGUAGCUACCAAAAUCAAUUCAGGAAAUAUGUGAAGAAACAUUGAUUUCUCAAUUCAGAUUGACCGAGUACAACUUGACAAGUUUUAGACCUGAUUAUACUGUUUCAAAGAUAUUUUUUCCAAAAGAAAAGGGCAGUUCAAGAAUUGGUAUGGAAAGUGUAAAAAAGGUAACACUUUAUUAUUAAUUUUUUAUUGCACUUUUUUCUUUUGAAUCCGUAAUACUUAAUAAUUUUACUAUAUCAAUGAAACAAAUUCUAACCUAAAUUUAUUUUCUUUUUUAUUAUUUGUAGGAAGUAGAAGACAACUCAGACAAAUGCUACACGAUAACUACCGAGAAUGAAGAGGUAGACACUGAUGACUCUUUUACCGAGAAAGUAACAUUCGUAGAAGAAGCCAUAAGGACUGGGGAAAGAUUGGCUAGAAAAGUAUACUCACUUCCAUGUCAGUGUUCAUUCUAUUUACAAUACAUGCAAAAAAAAUAUUAUUCAUGCAAAAUUGCAGGUCUACUAAGCAUUAAAGGAAUAGCGGAUAGUGCAAUAUGUAAUCUGAGCAGCAUGCAUUACAAAGUGCUCUACUGCAAUUAAAUUAAAAAACAUGAUAUAUGUUGAAUUCUUAGACUUUAUUAUUAUACUUUUCUACGUGACAAUUCACAAUUUUUUAGAAAAAAGAAGAUCCCAGAAGAAGUGACCAUGAAAAAAGGUCUAUGACCAGCAAUAAGAAAAAAUGCAAGCAUAGAAACAAAUCCGUAGAAAACAUAGAAAAUAAGGUACUCCAUAAACAAAAGUAUUCUCUUAUAUUUUUAUUAAAUAUUUUUUUAACACUUGACAAGUUCUUUUUUAGGAUCAAUAUAUCAGCAAUUCAGAUGUCAUUGGAGAUGAAACCUUAGUUCAUCCAAAAGGUCAAAAAAAAACAUCUGAAGAAAGGUGUUUGGCUGAAAAGGAAAAGCAAAAAAGUGGUAAUGCAGACAAACACAUGCAGAAAAAUAUAAAAACAUGUCAUAGGGAGGCAGACCAAUCUUGCAAGGAGGUAUAGACGAAACGUGAUACACGACCUGCCUACCUUGUCGUGGAUACCCCAAGAAGAUGUCAUAGAGGUGCAGACCAAGCUAGCAAGGAGGUCGAAACGUGAUACACGGCCUGCCUACCUUGCCGUGGAUAUUAGCCCUGAGAUCAUUCUACUGUUCAAGGAAUAACACUCAAUGCUGCUGCUGCUGCUGACCUGGCUCCAUAAAGUUAUACUCCUCUAGGUGCUUGCACUAACUUUAUCUGAAGUAUUAUUCUCUCUGCACUGUAUAUAUGGUUAUGGAGUUUGCUGGAGUAUCCGGGGCGAAGAACCUACAUAAUACGUCUUGGAACUAAUUGACAUUGAUUCACAGACAAACUCUACAAGGUGCUGUUCUUGCCAUUUUAGAGCAUCCAAAGGACUAUAAAUAACAUAGUUUACCAUAUACCAUAUACCAUAUACCAUAAUAUGUUAGCUAAAAUAAGAGCAUACACAUGUUGCAGGAGUCCAAAAGCACCGGUUGAGGACCAGGUACAUUGAAUUACUAGAAAAAGACAGGGGACAAGGUUUAGGUAACCACAUGAAACAUUUGAAUUUAUUGUACUAUGAACACUUAGUUACCAUGCCAGGAGCACAUAGUUAACACUAACAUUUAGCCACUUUAGAUCAUCCCGAAUCACCAAUGACCCUCAAUAGUGACAAAUUUUGGUUUAAAUGCCAUCACCAAUGAUCCUCAAUAGUGACGUAUUUAGGUUUAAAUCCCGUCACUAAUAACCCUCAAUAGUGACCUGUUUUGGUUUAAAUCUCAUUACCACUGAUCCUCAAUAGUGAUGUGUUUUAGCAAAACAUGUUAUCAAUGACUUGUCAUUGGUGACGUGUUAAAACGCGUUAUCUCAAUGGCAAAUCAUUGGUGACGUGUUAUCUCAAUGUUAUCAAUGUUCUAUUCUUUUCAACAAUACCAGCUCGUUCCUCCGUUUUUAUUCCACCAAUACAAGCACCACCUUGUAACAUUUCCUAUGUUUUUUUUCCUUUUGUCUGUUUUCUCACUACAUGCGUUGCUCUUUCAUGCAUUUUUUUCCAUUCCUGUAUUCCAAAUAGGUCUACAUGAACACAAAAUGAACUAGGGGACAGAAAAAGCCAGUGAAGCCAAUUUUGAGCUUCACCAGCUACUUGCUACAUAAAGUGUGCUAUAGUGACGUGUUUUAGCAAAACAUGUUAUCAAUGACUUGUCAUUGGUGACGUGUUAAAACGCGUUAUCUCACUGGCAAAUCAUUGGUGACGUGUUUUAAAAAAACAUGUCACCGUGAGAGUCAUUGGUGAAGGGUAAUUAAAAUGCGUCACUAAUGUUGUAGCAUUAGUUAUGAUAAUUUAGUAACGCAAAAAUCUACCAUCAGUAUUGAGCUUUAGAGCCAUCGCUAAUGUGGGUUUCUUACAUAGUGAUGCAAGCUCUACAAGGUGCUGUUGCUGCCAUUUUAAAGCAUCCCAUGACUACAUGUUAAUAACAUAGUUUACCAUAUAUCAUAAAAAUAUUAGUUACAAUAAGCACAUACGCAUGUGGAAGAGUCCGAAUGCACCGGUUGAGGACUAAACACAUUGAAUUACUAGAACCAAAUGUAUGUUUAGAACAAAGACAGGGGUCAAGGUUUGGGUAACCGCAUUAAAAACAUUGGAUUUUACUGUACAUGAACACUUAGUUACCAUUACCAUGCCUUGAGCACCUAGUUACAACAAACAUUAAUUUAGCCACUUUAGAGCUUCCAGAAUCGCUAUAAAUAAUAUACCUACGCCGUACCAUGAAAACAUCAAGAAGAGAGACGGAUACAUGGACCACCAUCAAGCGAGUAGUGACAGCACGCACAAGAAUACCCGGAACCUGUUAGCUUGUCUGUAGUGAUCUGUUUUCUUCCCCAUAAAAUCCAUGAGUAUUGCCACAAAUAAUGAAAGAGGCUGACCAAGCUAGCAAGGAGGUAGAGCAAACGUGAUACACGGCCUGCCAAGAUUGCCCUGGAUACGCCAAUAAGAGCGACAGAUACAUGGAUCACACCAAUAUGGUGAAACGUAUAUUCAUCACACAAGCAAAGCUGGUCAGUUUAUCCAUGGUCAAAUUGUGGUCUUUGUUUUCACUUGAGAGCUAAUUGAGGCACUAUAAUAUGGGCAGGCCUAUCUUCAACAGACAUGACAGCUACAGGGAACUUGACAUAAUUUGCUGGGCCGCCUGUGCACAAUUAUUUGUUUUAUUGUCCUUGCAUAGAAUGCUAAAAUACUCUUUACAAAAUGUUGGAUCUAAUAUUUGAAAUAUAGAGUAGUAAUCAUAUAUUGAUCAACAACUUGAAAUUAUCUGUACAUUCUCGGUGAAGCUGUUGAACUAAUUUUUGCAAAUUAUUAAUUCAUCUCAUUACGUAAAGAAAAAAGUAAGUGGAUAAGAUAUUUCGUGGACCACAUCACUGCAAACAUGUCAUGGAGAGACAGACCAAGGAGGCAGGACGUGAUACACGACUUACCCUAGGUUGCCGUGGAACCGCCAAGAAGAGAUACAGAUACAUGGACCACACCAUCUUGGGAGUAGUGACAGCAUAUAUGCAGAAGAAUACCCCGUGCCUAUUUGCAUGCAUGUCUCAAGUGAUCUGUUUUCUUCAGAAAAUACAUGAGCAUUGCCAGAAAGAAUGGCAAGAGACAAACAUGUCAUAGAGACUUGCAUGUCUUGCCUUGGAUACGCCAAGAAGAGGGACACAUACAUGGAUAACACAAAUCUAGUGACACGUAUAUUCAUCACAAAGGCAAAUCUGAUAAUUUUAUCCAUGGAGCAGACCAAGGAGAAAUUGAUGACGGACAUGUGAUCUCUGUAUUCAGUUGAAAGCUAAUUGAGCUACACUAAUAUGAGCAGGACUAUAUUCAAGAGACUUGUUGAGAGCUACAGGGAACUUGUAAUAAUUUGCUGGGCGGCCUGCGCACAAUGAUUUGUUAUACAUAGUUGAAAUAUUUCAAGAAUUUAUCAACCUCAUACUCUGAAACCCUUGGUGCAAUGUACUCUGCUUUCCGAGGUAGACUGUUCACGUAAAAUGAGGUCAUGCGUAAGACGGAAUCGGAUUGGAUUCACAGGGAAUCAGAUUUGGAUAGCACCUUUUAGCAGGUUUUUAGUCAAAUGCAAAUUCGGAUCCACAUGUGGUUGAAUGCGAGUUCAAAAUUCUACUUGGAUAUCCAUUUAAUUUAGGUGAUAGCAAUUAGCACAAAAUGUUGGAUGAACAAAAUCAUAGUUAGACAUACAAUUACAUGUAUGGUUAAAGUAUAAUACAAUACACCAAGAUUAUUCCUUGAAAAUAUUUCUUAAAAAUAUUAUAAUAAAUGAAUAAAUAUAAUUGUGGCCACCAACAAAUAGUCGGUGGUCGCUAAGUUGGAGCCAUUUCUGGUUACUAAUGCGGCCUUCUCCUCGACCAGCGACGACAGCUGAGCUUGUUCCUUCUGACACUAAAUCAUCAGAGUCUUCCCUCCACUACUAUAGAAUGCACCUUUAGCACCAAUUGGGAAAUCCCCUUCAGUAUUGGAUGCUGCAACCAGUGCUAUAUAUCAAAAUGGAGACUAAAAGCCUCGGUCUUGGGUACCGGUUGCAUAACGCAUUACUAAAGGAGGCAAAAGAGAAAUGUAACAAAAAAAAUAUUUUGAAUUCCAAGAAUGUUUCACUAUUCAAGAUGACUAGCUGAGAGUCAACAGACAAGAUACUAGGAAUGUGGGUGCUUGAAUGCAUUUGUACAGAGGUCAUACUAUUUACAAACUCUUCUAUGUUUCCAUAUGACUACCUACUUCAAUGUCACGCGAGCCAUUCAGCUGGACACAUGGCACACUAGCUUGCAUGUCGAAUCCAUGAUUAAUUAUUUGCACUUGUGAUCUCUUACCAGUAUUUGUCCAGACUAGAAACGUGCAACACAUUUUUAGGAUAUGGACACGCAUAUAUUUGGACUAGUAUACAGGUCACCUUUGGAUGCGUACAAGGAUGACCGGGAGGGACUAAUGGAUACAAGGAAGGGACCAUCAGGAUUAAUAUUGACAUAUGCCACAUGACAAUCUUCAUUGUCAUGCAAUCCCUAUCAACAAUCAUGGAAUCCCUAGUGUACUAAUCCCUGGAGGGUUGUGUGGAAAUUUAUUUUACCUUGCGGUGAAAAUCUCAUGAGCAGUCAUUAGUUAAGCUGACUAGCUGAGAUAUAAUAGACAAGCUAGUAAGAUUGGGAGCAUCAAUGCAUCCAUACAGGGUCACAAUAUCCUUUCCAUUCACUUUUAUAUAUAACCCUACGAAUACAAGUCCAACGAAAUGCGGGCCUUUCGAUCAAGAUAAAUUAAAUGGCCCACUUGUAUUUCUAAUCCAGGAUUAACUAUGCCCUCUGUUCAUCUCUUGCAAGCACGUGCAACACAUUUUCACGAUAUGGACAUGCAUGGAGGUUAUUAUACUGUUUGGACAAACUCUGAUGUGCCAUGACCUAAAUGCUUAGGGCCUGUUUGGUUUGAGUUGCUUAUUAUAAGCAACUUAAAGUUGCUUAAAGUUGCUUAUUUGAAGUUGCUUAUUUUUAGUCUAAACUGUUUGGAUACCCUUGCUUAUGAGCAUUGAAUGAGUUGGACAUUGUCAAAUUUGCCCCAUGUGUUGCUACCCCUCCAAUUUGCCUCCCCACCCUUCUUCUUCCUGCACACGUCCGAUCCCGGGGGCCGACGGCGGGCAGGGAGCAGCAGCAGCUGGCCAGGGCGGCGGUGGGGCGGGAGCGGCGGCGCACACCAGCACGCGCUCGCACGCCAGGUGCUAGGGCGCGGCGAGGCAGUCGUCGUAGCCCACCGGGAGCGGGUGCUCGGGCGCGAGGCGGUACUCGACGGAGAUGCCGAGCGUCGGGCGCGCGGCGGCGAGCGCGUUGAGGAAGCGAUGGUAGUGCGGCGACGUCGCGGACUCCGCCACGAAGCCGCCGCCGUGGACGUACACCACCACGGGCAGCUUCGUCUUGCCGUCGGCGGCCGCGGCCGCGGCCUGGGGUGGCAGGUAGAGGCGGACGGAGCAGGAGCCGAGGUCGACGUCCCUGGAGUCGACGCCCGUGGCGGCGUCCAGGCUGGGCCCGACCGGCGGCGGCACGAGCGGGCGCUCGAUGCGGCCGCUCUUGUAAAUCCGACGGGUCUGUGCGGAGGCGGGCGGCGGGCGGGAGCGGCGGGUGGGAGCGGCGGCAGGUGGUGCGGAGGCCGGCGGCGGCGGGUGGCGCGGAGGAAGGGGAGCUGGUGAGUGGUGACAGGGGAGGGGGGGAGAGAGAGGGGGGGUAGGGUGCAUUGAAUGAGGGCAGGAGGUGUAAAGUGCACCUUUUAGUCCCCAUGAGCAACCAUAAGCAGCCCAAGAGUUGCUUAUUUGCUUAUAAUAAGCAACCUCAUAAGCAAGAGUGAUUGGUUUCAUAAGCAACUUAUUUGCUUAUUUUAAGUUGCUUAUGCAUAAGCAUGUGAAACCAAGCAGGUCCUUAACCUAUGGUUGUGGCACCACACAGUACAUAGUAUUUAAUAAUGCUAUUCGUUUGGUAUGUGCACAAGGGCACGCAUGAAAUGUCUGGCCCACGGUAAACAAGUACGGACGCUGCAAAUAAUCUACUCUGCUCGUCCAGUCCCUAGCCUAUAAAUAGAUGCCAUGCUAGCUCUUGUUGUGCUCACAAUUAAUCCUGACUACACACGAGCUUCUCUCCCUGGCCAAGACACAAUCAUAGUAUGAUGAAGAACAUGGCACUAGCCGGCAAUGGUAUGAAGAACUUAAUCCUCGCUGUUCUCUUACUGUGUCUAGUUAUAGGGCAGAUACAAGUGGAAGCUAAGAGCUGCUGCCCAUCCAUUACUGCAAGAAAUAUCUACAAUGCCUGCCGUAUCACGGGUACAUCCCGUCCAACGUGUGCAAAACUGUCAGGCUGCAAAAUUAUCAGCGGGGACAAAUGCAAGCCCCCUAACGACCACCUCACCCUUGACCCGGACACUGGUAAAUAAUAAAUUUAUCUCACUUGAUUUCUUCGUGUUUUGAGUCGUUAAUGUAUUUUCCAUCUGAUGAAACGUAUUGGUUUUGCAUUGAAGAGGAAGUUAAUGUGCUUAACUUCUGCAAGUUGGGGUGUGCGUCGUCUGUGUGCAACAACAUCAACGCUGGUAAGCACCUUUUGCUCAGACGGAGAAAACAAUAAUCAUUAAUUAGCGGCAGCUAGAAUCCUAUAAUCUAAUAUAUUUAUAUAUAUAUAUAAUUUUAUCAGCUCUGGGAAAUGAAGAGGCGAACGAUGCCGUUGAGAGUUGCGACCAAGCCUGCUCUAGCUUCUGCAACGUGCACGUUGGCGCUGCCACCGUGGUUGCUUAAGCAAAUGCAUCCAACUGGAUCGUCCUUGUGCUAAAUAAUUGGAUAUCGUAUCCACUUAAAGCUGCCUUGUGUAGUACGUUUUUGUUUGUGUCUCUCUUUAUAUUCCAAUAAGGUCGGUGAUCUUGAUGCCACACACUCAGACGUGUGUUCAUCUCCAGAUACUACUCCAUGCUACCUGCCCUUUGUGUUUUGUUCAAUAACUGGGUAUCAUAUCCCAGCCAGUGUGCCAUCUGUUUUGUGUUUAUUUCCUUCUAGUUUCAAAGGGGUUAUCAUGAUGUUACCUUCUUUCGAUAUGGUGCUUUGCAUGACUACUGUUGUAUGGUACCAUCUUGUUGGCCAAUAAAUACAUCUUAUCCUAUGACC
rnacentral:lncRNA from 1 species